UUUUUUUUUUUUUUUUGAACUGUGAAAGAAAAAUUCCUUUUUCGUUGAAACAAAGAUUUAGAUAUUUUGUGAAAAUAUUAAACAUCACGGGGAGCAGUUAAUUGGUUGAGUGAUGAUAAAUAGUACAUAGAAGAAGAGCAGGAGAAAUAUUUAGUUUUUAGAUAUUGUGAUAUUUAAUUAUUAUCCUUAAUCAAAUUUUGUUUAACUGAUUUCAGGUAGCAUUGUAGAUAAUAUGCUGUGUAGAAUGGACUUCCUUGAUGGAAACUAAACUUGAACAACUUUUUGUUGAAACGUGAUUAGGUUGGAGAUGUGCCAGAAUAUGCGGUAGAUGAUAUGGGUGGUCAAGACAAUCUGCAUGGUGCCGGUGGUAGCAUGAGUGAAAAUAUGAUCAAUGUUGUUGAUGCAGUAUAUAGUGGAGACGUGGUGGUUGAUUCUUCAAAAAUGGCUGUUGCAGGGUUCGAAGGAGAAUCAAAUUUUGAGCCACGUAAUGGCAUUGAAUUUGAAUCACAUGAGGCAGCCUACUCAUUUUACCAAGAAUAUGCAAAGUCUAUGGGAUUUACUACUUCGAUUAAGAAUAGUAGGCGCUCAAAGAAAUCUAAAGAAUUUAUUGAUGCCAAGUUCGCAUGUUCCAGAUAUGGGGUCACGCCAGAAUCAGAUAGUGGUAGCAGUCGGCGAUCAAGUGUGAAAAAAACAGACUGCAAAGCCAGCAUGCAUGUGAAGAGAAGGGCAGAUGGGAAGUGGAUUAUUCAUGAAUUCAUAAAGGAGCAUAAUCAUGAGCUUUUACCAGCACUUGCUUAUCAUUUUCGAAUUAAUAGAAAUUUAGCUGAAAAGAAUAAUAUUGACAUUUUGCAUGUUGUUAGUGAACGAACAAGAAAGACAUAUGUUGAGAUGUCUAGACAAUCUGGUGGGUGUCAUAAUGCUGGGUUUUCAAGGGACGUGGAUAAUCAAUUUGAUAAGGGCCGACACUUGUCUUUGGAUGAAGGGGAUGCUCAAGUUUUGCUAGAGUAUUUUAAGCGUAUCAAGAAGGAAAAUCCCAGGUUUUUCUAUGCAAUAGAUUUGAAUGAAGAACAGCGCUUGAGAAAUUUGUUCUGGGUUGAUGCUAAAGGUAGGGAUGAUUAUGUCUAUUUUAAUGAUGCUGUUUCUUUUGAUAUGUUUUAUGUCAAUAUGAACGAUAAAUUGCCUUUUGCUCCGUUUGUUGGAGUGAAUCAUCACUGCCAGCCUAUUUUGCUUGGAUGUGCAUUCAUUGCCGAUGAGAGCAAAUCAACUUUUAUAUGGUUGAUGAAGACAUGGCUAAGGGCAAUGGGUGGGCAAGCUCCCAAGGUUAUAAUCUCUGAUCAAAACAAAUUCUUGAAGACUGCAAUUGAAGAAAUUUUGCCAAAUACACGCCAUUGCUUUGCUCUUUGGAAUAUAUUAGAAAAGAUUCCUGAAACUCUUGCUCAUGUAAUCAAGCAGCAUGAGAAUUUUGUUUCAAAAUUCCACAAGUGCGUUUUUAAAUCAUGGACUGAUGAACAAUUUGAUAUGAGAUGGUGGAAAAUGGUGACUCGCUUUGAGCUUCAAGAUGAUGAAUGGUUUCGAUCAUUGUAUGAAGAUCGUAAGAGGUGGGUGCCUACUUACAUGGGGGAUACUUUUUUGGCUGGAAUGUCUACAACUCAGCGCUCUGAAAGUAUGAACUCUUUCUUUGAUAAAUACAUCCAUAAGAAAAUUACCUUGAAAGAGUUUGUGAAACAAUAUGGGAAUAUUCUACAGAAUAGAUAUGAAGAGGAAGCCAUUGCAGAUUUUGAUACAUGGCACAAACAGCCAGCUUUAAAAUCUCCUUCGCCUUGGGAAAAACAAAUGUCAACAGUUUACACACAUACGAUAUUUAAGAAAUUCCAAGUUGAAGUUUUGGGUGUAGUUGGCUGCCAUCCUAAAAAAUCAAGUGAAGAUGGAACCAUUGUAACAUAUAAAGUUCAAGACUGUGAAAAGGAAGAAGACUUUAUGGUUACUUGGAAUGAAUUGAAGUCGGAGGUCUCUUGUUUCUGUUGUCUCUUUGAAUACAAAGGGUUUCUUUGUAGACAUGCAAUGAUUGUUCUCCAGAUAUGUGGUCGUUCGAGCAUCCCACCUCAGUAUAUUUUGAAAAGGUGGACCAAAGAUGCAAAAAGCAGGCUGUUGAUAUCUGAAGGUGCAGAAUGGUUGCAGACUAGGGUGCAACGUUACAAUGAUCUAUGUAAACGAGCCAUUGAAUUGAGUGAAGAAGGAUCAUUAUCUGAUGAGAAUUACAAUAUUGUUUUCCGUGCAUUAGUAGAUGGACUGAAAAAUUGUGUGAACGUGAACAAUUCUAGCAACAAUGUUUUGGAAUGUAGUAGCCAUGUGCAAGGUCUUCGAGAAGCAGAAGAAAUAAAUCAAGGAAGCCUUGCUACCAAGUCAAAUAAGAAAAAGAAUACAAUCAGGAAGAGGAAGGUUGGUACUGGAACCAAAGUUGUUUUUAUAGGGCUAAUUUCAGAUUACCCCCUUAUGAAAUGACAAUCCGGAAAAUACUUCCAAACUAUCAUAAACCUCAACUUAUCCCCAUUUUUGUUAAGAAGACAAAAAAUUUCAUCAUUUUUCCCCCCUUAUCUUUUGAACAAAAUUCGGGUAAGUUGAGGUUUACAAUAGUUUAGAGGGUAUUUUGAAGAUUGUCAUUUCACGAGGUAAUAUGAAAUUGACCCUAGUUUAUAUGCUAAUGGUCUCAUUAUGUAUCUGCGGCCACUGUGUUACAAUUUUUUUUUUUAAAGAAAAUUUAAGCAAGAAUAUUAUUUGCACUGUGUUUCGCUAUAUUUCAGGUACAGUCAGAGCAGGAUAUCUUACUUGUUGAGGCACAAGAAAGCUUGCAGCAAAUGGUUCGUCCCAUCUCAGUUUUAGUUGUGAUGUAAUUUUCUUGUGUAUCUGAUACCAGUUGAAAAUGAUUUUACAGGAUUGCUUACUUUUUCGGAUAUUUUGUGUCCAAGAACAUCUUCGACUGUCUUUUAACUAGUAAAUUCUGUAGGGAAAUGUCUCAGACAUAUUUUCAUAUAUUUAGUUGUCACUGUGAAACAUGCCAGGUCGUGAAUUCACCUGCAUUGUGUUUCUGAUUAUCUAAAUCUUGUAAUUUGUUUCACUGUUAAUGUGCUUUGUUGGAUCAUUAUAUCUUAUUUUGGCAUUUAUGCUUGUAGGAAAAUCUAACUUCUGAUGGGAUCGCCCUUAAUGGUUUUUAUGGUUCUCAACAGAAUGUGCAAGGACUGGUAUGACAUGUCUUACUAGUUUGACUAUUUAAAAGUUAUGUUGUGCAGCUUCCUGAAUAAAAUAUGAUCUCAAUUAUGUUAUUAUUAACUGCAUCGUAUUGCAGGUACAGUUAAAUCUAAUGGAGCCACCUCAUGAUGGUUACUAUGUUAAUCAGCAGAGCUUGCAGGGGCUGGUAAGUCGUGCUUGAGUUAUUACGAUAAGAUGUAUUAUAAAGAAUUGACGUUUUGUGACAAACUGAUUUGUCAACAUACCUGUAGGGACAGUUGAACUCAAUAGCACCCGGGCAUGAUGGGUUUUUUGGGGCUCAACAGAGCAUGCAUGGGCUGGUAUAGGUGUUUGAAGUUGACUUAAUAGACAUAAAAGGAAAUUUAGCAAUGAGAAUAUGAUCUAAAAGAUGAACUUUCCAUAAUUAUGCUUCUGUUGAUGUAGGGACAAUUGGAUUUCCGACCUCCAACUAGCUACAGCUAUGGUCUGCAGGUUGGUAUCAAAGACACGGUAUAUUUACACGGUGAUCAUGUAUAAAUGGCGCUUCCUAAUGCUGUCUUUUUAUGUUGCUUAUUUUCAGGACGAAUCCCAUUUGAGACAAACUCAGUUACAUGGUAAUGCUCCAAGGCAUCCAUAAAGACGGAACUCCGUGAUCUAUCAAUUUAGAAGCUUGCAAAAGAAUAGUUAAAGCUUCAACUUCAGGGGCAGCCAAAAAAUAGUUAUCAAGUUGAGCGGAAUUAUUCAAUCAUGAAGUCGUUGACUAGAAUUGAAUAUUGCUGUUCCAACCCCAAUUGUCUCACUUAGUGCAUGGAGCAUUUUGCUUCUGUUCUGUUGAUCCAGUUUAACUGCACAACGGAUGCCAUGGAAAGCAAGACUCCUGUUCUCUGAGGUGUAGAUUUCUUGCUUGGAUGGGAAUUGAUCUAAGAAAUGCACUUGUCCUGUGCAAAUCAGUGAUGUUCAGUGGCAGUAGUAAUAUAUCUCUGUAAAUGUUCUUGUAUUCUUCUUAUUGUAUGUGUAUGUCCAUCGCCAUGUUGUGGAGUUGUGGUGCUACUCUUCUUAAGUAUGAAUUUUACCACGGAAUUCCUCUUUUAGCUGUUGGAGAAAUGUUUAUUUGGAAAGUGUUGAUGUGUAGUCCUACUCUUUAUAUUAAAGCAAUAUACUUCUAUGUGUGGGGAUGAAUAAUGUCUGUUUUUUUUUUUGAAGAGGGGAUGAAUAAUGUCUAAAUUAAUAUUUUAAUGCUUUAAACUCGACUAUCAAUUAAAAAGAUUAUUUGAAAACAAUUUAUAAUAUAUUUCACUUAUUAAAUAGUGUUUAAUAUUCUUAUCUUAAGUGCUAAUAUAACAUUUAUCGUUAAAUAUAUAUUUUUUUUUUGGUGCCAUUUUGUUAUAAUGAUAUUUUUUAUAUAAAAAAAUAAGAGAUUGGUGUUCAAACUUCUCUCCUAUGGGUGGAAAGGAGAUUAGAUUGUCAUUAAACUAAAUGGUAUAUAUAUAAAGAUUUAAUUAAUUAUUAUAUUAUGAUAGUUUAUUUUUUCUUAUUUUUAUACCCAAAAAAAUAAAUAAAAAAUUGAAGGAAGCUGACCCCUAAUAUGUGAUUUUCUGUAAUUAGAGUGAUUAAUCAUUUAAUCAGCAGCGAGAUGGUCGAGCUCGAACCGCCAAGUAUGUGAACCGGACGGACUCGGGUUUAGUGACGGUUCAAACUUCAAAACUCUCUCUCUUUCUUUCAGGCUGCCUCUCAAAUGACUGUUGCUCGUGGCGCGGGUAUGUUUUCAUACAAAUUCUUUCUUUUUAAUUAAAUUCAUUGUUUUGUUGCCACGAAUUCUAAGAAAUAAAAAAAUGGAAAUUAAAUCUAAAUUCUUUGUAUUUUAUUAUUAUUAUUAUUAUUAGGGCUUUGACACGAGUUGACAAGCUCGAAUUUGGUUUUGUAUGGGUAAAUUUAGCUCAGUUAAGUUGAAAAGUUCCAUAUUCAAUUUACUUCAAUUUUCUGAACUGAGUUUUACUUCCUUUUGAACCCAAUUUUAUUACCAAGUUCAGUUUUUAUUAGUGUAUUUGGAGUUGCCUUUUGCUCUGGUUGAUCAACAAACCUUCUAACUUUUUGAAAAUUGGGAAAAUGUUGAUGCAUAUUUGAUACAAUCAUAGAUAGCUGUAACUUGUGCUGGUGAUCUAUGUUUUUAUUCUUUUUAUCAAUUUUCAGGUGCCUUUGGUAGAGUGAUUUUUGAUGUAGCAUAAAAUUUGAUUUUUUUCAUGGAGAUAGAUCUUGAAUUGCCUUCAAAUGAACAGAAGAAGUUAGAUACUAUUUCAGAUACAACCGGUGAUAUCAUGGAUGGUGAGGAUAGAGUAGACGUUGACAAUGGAGAUGGUAAUUCUCCUAGAAUAGGUGAAUAUGUUGAGGAGUGUGGUCCAAGUGCAAGCGAAAGAGUUGCUGGCAGUGGGAAUCAAGUAGAUCUGAGUGUCGUUGGAGCAAAUGUCCAUAAAGGGGUCAUGUGUGAGCCUCAAAAUGGUUUGGAAUUUGAAUCAAAGGAGGCAGCCUAUUCUUUCUACAGAGAAUAUGCUCGCUCUGUUGGAUUUGGCAUCACGAUAAAAGCCAGCCGCCGUUCGAAAAAGUCUGGAAAAUUUAUUGAUGUAAAAAUUGCAUGUUCUAGAUUUGGUAGCAAACGAGAAUCUAGUACUACUACUAAUGCUCGGUCGUCUUUUCCAAAAACAGGCUGCAAUGCAGGCAUGCAUAUGAAAAGGAGACCAGAUGAAAAGUGGGUUAUAUACAGUUUUGUAAAGGAGCAUAAUCAUGAGAUUUACCCGGAUGAUUUUUAUCAAGCUAUCAGAGGAAGGAACAAACAGUCCGGUAUAGUUCCAUGUCAAAAAAAGGGCUUGCAGUUGAUGCUUGAUGGUGAAGAUGUGCAAAUGAUGCUCAAUCAUUUUGUAGGCAUGCAGGAUGAGAAUCCUAAUUUCUUUUAUGCAGUAGAUUUGGACCAUGAAAAACAUUUGAAAAGUGUUUUCUGGGUUGAUGCAAAAGGUAGACAUGAUUAUAGGAACUUCAGCGAUGUAGUUUUCUUUGAUACAUUUUACAUCAGAAACAAGUAUAAAAUUCCUUUUGUUCCUAUUACUGGAGUAAAUCAUCACUUCCAGUUGAUUUUACUGGGAUGUGCAUUAAUUGGGGAUGAAUCUACUUCAACUUUUGUUUGGUUAAUGCGGACAUGGUUCAAAGCAAUGGGUGGCCCAACUCCUAGAGUGAUUAUCACUGAUCAAGACAAAUUCUUAACAGAAGCUGCUGUAGAUGUAUUUCCUAGUACUUGCCAUUGUUUUUGUUUAUGGCACGUCUUGAGUAAGAUUCCUGAAAAAUUGGGUUGUGUUAUUGAUUGCAAUGAAAAGUUUAUGGCGAAAUUUAAUAAGUGCAUUUAUCGCUCCUGGACGGAUGAGCAGUUUGAAAACAGAUGGUUGAAGAUUGUUGAUAAAUUUGAACUUGGGGAAAAUGAAUGGGUUCACUCCUUGUACAAAGAUCGUGAAAAGUGGGUCCCAACAUACUUGCAGAAUACAUUUUUGGCUGGAAUGUCUACAAGCGAGCGAUCUGGAAGUGUCACCUCUUUCUUUGACAAGUACAUGAACCGGGAAGCUACAUUCAAAGAGUUUUUUGAGCAGUACAAAGCAUAUUUGCAAGAUAGAUAUGAAAUGGAAGCUGAAGCUGAUUCUGAAACACGAAACAAAAAACAUGGUUUAAUGUCUCUCUCAACUUUUGAGAAACAAAUGUCAACAAUUUAUACAGAUACAAUAUUCAAGAAGUUUCAGGUAGAAGUUUUAGGAGUAGUUUCUUGUCAUAUGCGAAAAGAAAGAGAAGAUGGAUCAACUCUGAUCUUUCGAGUUGAUGAUUUUGAAGAACGGCAGAAUUUCUAUGUAGCCUGGAACGAAGCAGAGCUGAAUAUAUGUUGUUUAUGUCAUUCAUUUGAAUACAGAGGUUUUCUUUGUAAACAUGCGAUUCUUGUACUUCAAAUGUCUGGUUUUUCUGAGAUCCCAUCCCGUUAUAUAUUGAAGCGCUGGACAAAUGAUGCAAAGAUGAUUGGAGCUGUUAGUGAAAUAUCAAGCGGGUUUCAUUUCCGAAUGCAACGUUUUAAUGAUCUUUGUAAACGGGCUAUCAGAUUGGGGGAAGAAGGGUCAUUAUCUCAAGAAGCAUAUGAUAUUGCAUUGCAGGCUCUAGGAGAAGCACUGAAACAUUGUGUGGACAUGAACAAUUCAGUUAGGGGUGUUUUAGAGGCCAACACAUCAUCUGCUCGUGGUUUUCUUGGCAAUGAAAAGGAGAAUCGUGGCAACAGCAUGGCCAAGGCAUCAAAGAGAAAGAAAAUGCAUAAGAAAAAAAAGGUCAGUCGAGACUUCACAAUUGACAUGCUGAGACUGUUACCGGCUCUAAGCUGUAUUAAAUAACUUAGCCUUUCAUUUAUACAUUUUAGGUUCGGCCAGAGCCAGAGAGGAUUAGUAUAGGAUUGCAAGACAGCUGCCAGCAGAUGGUUUGUUACAUUUUAAAACUUUAUUUCUCAACAUUUAGUUUGCAAACAUAGAUGCAAUAAGUUCAUUGUGAUACUUAUAGAAGAAUCAUUGUGCUUUCACUUAUGCAGGAUCAGAUGAAUUCAAGAGCUCACACCGUUAAUAAUUGUUAUCUACCUCGACGGGACAUGCAACAAAUGGUAUGAAGACGGUAUGCUGCAGGAAGGAAGUUGUUUGCUAAUUCUUGCCCGCUGUGAAGUUCUAAUUCUGGUGUUUCUCAUUUGGGCUUCUUGUAGGACUCCGGCUCUAGAGCACCAACACUUGAUGGCCACUAUCAUUCUCAAAAUAAUAUGCAAGUUGUGGUAUAGAGUCUUCUGGUUUCAACUACAAUGUAUACAAGUCAAGAAAUUCAGUCUUGUAUCUUCUAGACGUGGAUGACUAAGCCUCAUUUUAAACUUAUUGUAGGGACAAGUGAACUCAAUUUCUCCAAUUUGUGAUGCUUCUUAUUAUGGCAAUCAACAGUGCAUGCAGGGCCAGGUAUGGUUGUUGCUUUCAUUCUGACCUUAUGAUAUCAUAUAUAGAAGCAGACCAAUUCUUCCACUUUUGACUAUUUAGGUUCAAUAAUUUUCAGGGACAAUUACAUUCCAUUUCAGCACGUGUUAGUCACUAUGGGACUCAACAAAGCAUGCAUGGAUUGGUACACAUUUCACAUAUUGUUGUUUAAUGAGCAAUUUGGUUUUUCAGUUAAAAAUGAUUUAAGUAUAGCCAUCUCAAGUAUUGAUACAUAGGUAGUUACAGGGACAGCUCGGUUUCAGAGCAUCAGCCAUGCAUGGAUGCUUUGACAUUCAGGAUUCUUUGCAAGACAUGGUGUGCAUAUUGAUAGUUUGUUUAAAUCUCAAAAUUUUGAAUUCAUUUUUGUUUUCCAAAAAUGGAAUUUGUACACAGUUGAGUUUUUCUUCUUCUUGAUGUAGGAUGAAAAUUCUGCAGCCUCCACCCAGUUUCAUGGUAUCUCUUCAAAGCGUUUGCAAGAUAAGAACAUCUCUCGUUAGUGGAAAGGUUGAAUGUAUAUUUACUUUUUAUGAGUUGAUAGAACAUUAGUCAAUUAACCCUAUAGCUCAUGUAAAUUUUCACCGCCUCUUUGAAGAUUCUUUUCAAAUCAAAACAACUCUAUGUACAUUAUUCACUUCAACUCUUUUUGGUGAACAAGUAUAAAAUAAAUACUUUAAUGAGAAUGUUUUUCAUAAACUUGGAGAACAUACGACAUUGCUCAUGUUGCAGCAGGCAAUAUUGUCAGUCACUUGAUGUUUCAUUAUUAAUGCAGCAUUUUAACUUCCUCAAAUGAUAUGUUUCAUUAUUAACGUUUCAUUACUACUUUAGCACUUCAACUUCAUCAAAUGUUAUCUGGUUGUCGCAAAUGCAAAUAUGCUUCUUAAAAGAAGGCAUCUCUCACCACAUGUUUAUGAGUAGUGAACUUCAAUAACUCAAAAGCUCUAGGUUCUUAAACAAUAUUUUGCCAUUUUACUUUCCCAUAUUUGAAAAUUCAAUUCUCAAAGAUUCUUUAACAAUGAAAACCGCGAAAAAUUAUUGUUGAAAACUAUUACAGGUUCUCCUUACUGCAAUUGUUUGUUAAUUGCAGUUGAGAACAAAUAAUAAACUGUACAGUCAGUGGACAGCCGGUCUCUCCCUCAAUUUGCACCAUAAACCAUUUUUGGUAUGGAUUGUUGCUCCAGUAACAAGUUCCACAGAUUCUGGAGAUCCUUUCAGCUCAAUAUCAAACUUCUGUAACAACAUAGCUAAACCUACAGUUGACUCCAUGACCGCAAAUUGGUCUCCGACACAUUUUCUUGGUCCCCCACCAAAUCCCAAGAAAGCAUAAUCUGAUACAAUCUGGGAAUUGCAAUCGUAAUCACAAUGGGAAAGAGUGAGUAAAACAUUUUGAAUGCUAAACAUAUAGAGAUUGUUAGAUGGAUUACCUCAUUUGGGUAUAAUGCUCCAGGACUUCGAGAUGGAUCGAAACCACUCCAUCCUUCAAUGCCUACAUCCUUCCGAGGUUUUAAGAACCUUUCGGGUUCAAAUUCAUGGGGCCGGUCCCAGAAGUAUGGUGAUCUAUGAAGAUUAUAUAUCUAAGCAACGAUUUUUAUGGAAAGAGAUCAGUUAAUCGAUACAAAGAAGAAGCUAGAGCAAAGAGCUUAGAGCAAAAAUGUUGUAAUCGAACAUAAUCUCAUGACAAAUAGAGCUAAAUUUCAGGCUCAAAUCUGAUCCUUUGAUAAGCAUACCAUAUCGGCAAACAAUGUGAACAAAAUAAAUAAAUGAGGCAAAUAUAACUGCUGCUUACAGAGAGGAAGAUAUCGGUCCCAGCAGGAACUGGGUAACCAUCUUUGUCACCCCUGUAUCCUCCUGCAGAACCAAAGGCUAGUGCUUAACCCAGAUAUCCUAAGAAAAUACUGAACAUAUUAUCUGCCUAAGGAUUGAGUGAGGCAUGAGAAUACCUGGUAAUACAUCUGGUUUGAUGGUGCGUCUAAUGAGCAAUGGGGGUUGAGGAUAUAGACGAAGAGACUCUGCAACAAUAAGCCUUAUGUACCUAAAAACAUAGGACAUAUGGUAUAUAUCAAACCCCUUACCAGACGAAUUAGCAUUUUCAGAAAAUCUACAUCAUCUGAAAAGAAUUGGGACAAGUUAAUUAAUAUACAAUAGAUGAGUCAGAAUUACAAUAGAAGCCUGUUCAGAAACAGUGGAUGAAUUUUUUUUUUUUAAGUUUUAAAAAUCCAAUACAUAAUUAUGAUGAAAAAUGACCUUAAGAAAUAAAAGUUCUAGUUCAUCACACCUUGAAAUAUCAGGGUGGAAAGAUUUCCAUUACCAAUGACUGGUUGGAGAGAAACAAAUUAAAACCUCCUUCAAUCUCUAACACAGCCCAUGUCUCAUAAGAAUCUCAUAAUCCUCUGGUUUUCCCAGAACUAAGACAUGAAUGAUUCAUUUACGAUUAAGGAAUGUUGUUAUUAAUUUGCAAUCAAUGCAUAUCUUAAUUUUGCUUCAUAACUAUGCACAGAAAUGCACACAACUAUAGAAAAAUAAGACAAAUUCAUGUCACAGCUAACAAUGAAUAGAAUAAGUUUAUGAGAGAGGAUGACUUCAACACCUACUCCAGUUUUUUAAGUGAUUCAAAAGUUGGUUUCUUCUGUCCCAGCACUGAAUCAACCUCAGCUUGAGCUUUCUUGACUUUUGAGGGAUUCUGCAGCAGAGGAAAUUAAUGCAUCAGCAUGGUCAGAAGUUCUAUAUCUCUUCCUUUUACUAUCAAGUGUGAGCAUUUAGCUCACAAGGUUAGAAUCUCCUUGAUGAAACACAUUAAAGAAGACGGUAUCCAAUUGGAGGAAAAAAAAAAAAAAAAAAAAAAAGGAAGAGAAAGAAAGAAAAGAAAGGUUGUAUCCUAAAGGUAGUAGUGAAGAAUCAUACUUGAGCCAGAAGAAAAACAGCCCAAGUAAGAACAGCAGCCGUCGUUUCAUGGCCAGCAAUAAGCAUUGUCAUCAGGUCAUCCCUUAGCUGUUAAAAGAGUAAAACAAAAAAAAUCUGUCAAUAAAGCAUGAGUUUGAUCUAUAAUUAUUCUCAAUAUAAGUUUAGACAUGCCCGAAGAGAUGCAUGGGUUAAAGCAUGUUCAUUUUCUAACGUUUAUUUACUCUCAUAUGCACAAGGGAUACAUGGGAAUGGCUGAGAUAAAGAAGAAGUCCUUAUAAUUCAGAAUAAUGGGUAGAACAAGCACUUAUGUUUUGUCUGAGAAAGUGAUUUUUUAGCCAGCAACUUUAUCUCUGGAAACACUGAAUUGGGUAGCCUAAAGACAUCUACCUGACGGUCAUCAACGUCGGCUCCUCGCAUAUCAACUAAAAAACGCAGGAGACUUGCAUCCUGCAAACUUUAUGGUUAUAAUGCCAGAAUUUCCACAAAUAUAUAUAAACAAAUAAAUAAUUUUGCAAUAAGAAGUUAACAAGCUAAUUUUUGUGAGGAAGAUACUGACACACCUUGAGAUUUGAGUAGUCCCUGCUCUGCAGUUUCUCAACAUCGGUUUCCUGUCAUGUAAUGCAAUCAAAUCAAAGGUCUAGGCAUUGGUUCCAAUUAUAGUAUUUGGUUUCGUUAUCCACAUGCUACGAGAAAGGAAGCUAUCUCACAUUGACAAAAGAGCCAGGUAAGGCAAUGGAAAGCUAAAGCAGAAACAGAAUAAUGCAAAAACAAUUCAAGGUCCACAUGAAGCUUCAGGGUACAAUAUGUGGCUGCUACCGUCUUAGUUUCAAGUUUCAUUUACUUAAAAAGAAUUGAUAUAUGGUUCAAGAGUAAAGAAAAAUAAAGAAAGAAUCCAAUUUUCUUUCCUUUCACAUGAUCUUUAAAGCUUCUUACCUGUCUAGUCUCUUUUGCAUUUCUGAUGAGUCCAUCAAGACAGUCAUUGAUAAUUUUAAGGUCAUUCUGGAAUUUCCUUUGCCUGGGAACUAUCCACCUUGCCAGAGGAAUUUUCCAAUAAGGGAUAUAGAACGUUGAUCUAUGCUCAGCCUCAAAAAGAGUACCAUACACCGCCUAUAAUACAUUUACAGAGAGUGCUAAUCAGGGAUUAUUUGCAUCUAAUGUGGCUCAAGGAAAAAGAGGAAUGUAAAGUUGAGGGCAGGAAAUUAAGAUUAGGAGGAAAACGUUGAAAUACAGUGGAAAAGUAAUAAAACAUCAAAGCGGAAUUUUAAUAACGUAUUUCUUUUCCUUUCAAACCUUUAUGACAGGAGACUCUUUUGUAACAGAACCAAAGUCAUAGUUGAAAACACCAAGCCCAAUAAUAUCGAGAGCCAAACUUGAAAACUCUGCUUCAAGAUCCAACUCAAUUGAAUUCCCUCCACGUGAGUCCUCUCCUUCUAGAAGUUUCUCAAAUUUCAUUAUUGUUCUUUCUGAACAAUCCGCAAACAUGUUCACCAUAGCUUCCAAGUAUAAGGCAUGGAACCCAGGAGCAAUAACUGCAUAUAGUGAUGAAACAAAGUAAAAGCAGUAGUUAUAACAACUAAUAACUAAAUGUGUUCGUAUAGGGAUAUACAUUUUCUUUUGUGGAACAAAAAUAUACAUAGUUCUGCAUUCCUCACCUCGUCUCCGUUGCUUCCAAGUGUCAAGGUCAGCAGGUAUAAGUCCUUUUCCCAUUAUUGGUUCUAGAAUUUCAGCAAGAACUCCCUAAUUAAAAUAUGGCAAUUUUUGUAAAAUGAAUAAAUUAAUAUGCAGAAACUAGAUUAAGCAAUAAAAUAUGAAGUCAAAUUAAGCAAGCUAAUCCUAGAAAGUAGGGGUGGGCAAAACCGGGUUCGGGUCGGGUUCGGAUCAACCCGAUCGGAUUUCGGGUCAUUCGGGUUUAACAAAAAUCAAUCCGAAUACAACCCGAACUCACAACCCGACCCGAUCCGAUCCGAUUUAUAUUCGGAUCGGGUCGGGUCGGGUUGUGAAUUCAGGUUGAAAUCGGGUAGGAUCGGGUUGGCCAAUUUCUAGGGAUGGCAAAAAUCCCCACGGGGAUGGGUACCCUCGGGGAUUUUCCCCAUUCAGGGAGGGUACGGGGAUAAUUUUAUACCCAAUUUUUUUUUCGGGGAGGGGACAAUUCUCUUAGGUCCUCUUUUAGCAAAAAAAUUCAAUAUGUUCCAAUUGUGUAAAGAUGAAUAAAAGGGUUUAUAUAAAAAGUAGGCUAGAAGUAUUCUGCUGUACGGCCAAGGCGGAUGUACGGUACAGCAGAAUCGGGUUCGGGUCGGGUUCGGAUCAACCCGAUCGGAUUUCGGGUCAUUCGGGUUUAACAAAAAUCAAUCCGAAUACAACCCGAACUCACAACCCGACCCGAUCCGAUCCGAUUUAUAUUCGGAUCGGGUCGGGUCGGGUUGUGAAUUCAGGUUGAAAUCGGGUAGGAUCGGGUUGGCCAAUUUCUAGGGAUGGCAAAAAUCCCCACGGGGAUGGGUACCCUCGGGGAUUUUCCCCAUUCAGGGAGGGUACGGGGAUAAUUUUAUACCCAAUUUUUUUUUCGGGGAGGGGACGGGGAAAAUUUUUUACCCAACUUUUUAUUCGGGGAGGGGACGGGGAUGAGGUGGAAUCCCCAUCCCCUACCCAUUUCCCCAUUUUAAUUUUUAAUUUUAUUUUUAUUUUUAAAAUUACUAAUAAAUAAAUAACAAAAUUAUAAAUAUUGUUAAAAAUAAUAAAUAUCAAAAUAGUUGUAUGUUGGGAAAGUGGUCACCCUUUGCCGGGAAUUAGUUGAAGAGUAUUAAUUGAAGUUUUCACCAACUGUUUAUUGCUUUGAUUAUACUGGUAGUAGUUCUUCUACUAGAUCUACAGGGGAUUCUUAUAAGAAAGCAACCAAAUGGAUGACAGGUUUUGAUGAUUAUGUAAACAAUGGAGAUUGUGCAGUUGUUGCAGAUGAAUUACUGCUGUACCGUACAUCCGCCUUGGCCGUACAGCAGUAAGGAUAAAAUUGUAAUUUAAAAAAAUUUACUCCAAAUCCAAGACAAAGUAAACAAAUAAUUGGGAUUCUGAUUGACAAUCCAUACUUUUAUUUAGUCUAAGUAAACACUCUACUCUCACUCCCACUCCACACUCCUAAUCCAAGGCCAAUUUCCUUGAUUUUGUUACAACCAUUUAAAAACACAUAAUUACAACAAUUAAAUACUAAAUAUUAAUUGUUUAAUUUAACCAUAUACACCAUCAAUUCAAAUCUUUAAAAAAAAAAAGCUUAAAAAAAGUGUGAAAACUCAAGAUUCAAAGUCAAAGGUGAGAAGCUCGGGUUGAAGGCUUGGAGCAGCAGAAGCACCUUGCAGCAGAUCCGCGGCACUUGCAGUAGAUCGGUGGCCGCGGCACUUGUAGCAGCAGACCGACGGACGCGUAGCAGCAGAUCGGCGGCACUUGCAGCAAAUCGGGCAUGGAGACGCGCGGCAAAUCGUCCAUGGAGAUGCGGGUGAGGCUGUGACUUCUGCGGCGGCCUCCGUUGGCGGCUUGGCGUUGGCCCAACGCCGUUGGGGGUGACUGUGUAUGUGUUUUGUGUAGUGAGAUUGGGGAUUGAGGAGAGUUGUGAGUGUUUGUGUAAAGUAACCGUGUAUUGUGAAAAUGGGAAUUGUGAUUUGUGUGUGCGGCGUGUAUGUGGCUGCUUGCUUUAGGUUUAGUUUUUUUUUUUUUUUUUUAUAGCAACUCGAUCGGGUUUCGGAUCGGAUCGAACCCGAUCCGAUCAUAACCCGAUCGGAUUUCAUUGUUUUGAUCCGAUCGGGUUUUCUUCAUAACCCGAUCCGAUCCGAACCCGAAAUUUUUCGGGUCGGAUCGGAUCGGAUCGGGUCGGGUAAUUUGCCCACCCCUACUAGAAAGGUUAAAAAAUGCUAGCAAACUUACAUUCUAAAAUAAUACCAAAACUUGCUAAGCCAACAAGUUCUAAGGUAAUACCUUGUCAUAUGAAAAUGCAUUUUCUCGAAGAAUAUGCCUCGCAAUGAUGGGAUCUGAUACGACAACAAAUGCUUUCGGCCCGAAAGCAAGUUUAUAUACUGAGCCAUGCUGCAAAAUUAACAGACAUCAAUACAAAGAACAAAUACAGGUCUUUAGGCAAUCAUCAAUGAAGUAAAACCAAAAAGAAGCAUUUGGUUGAGACAACAUUAUGCAACAAUUUGGCCGCAGUUGCUACAAAUUAAUGGCACACUAUUCUAGCAAAUACUCAAUUGAACAGCCACUACACCCCAUGACACCAUCUCUUCCCUGAUGAAACCUUAUGUACCUAAGUACCUUCAUCGCAGCCCUGAGUCAAUCAACCAACAGUUGUUACAGCAAACACAAGCAUUACCAAUGACACAUUGAAAAUACAAAAACUUUUAAGUUUACAUGCCGAUUAAAGCAUCAACGGAAUUAGUGUUAAAUUAACCUCUAUAAACCAGUCAUAGAGGGAGAAGAAGAGGGGGCGGCCAAACAAAUCAGAGACGGCUCCUUCAGCUACAGGCGUUGAACCAAGAUUUCCGCCACUUAACAAAUUCGUAAGAAGGUUACUUGCAUUGUCCAAAAGAUUCCUUCUUGUUUUCGGUUCAUUAGUGCCAGUGGACUGGCAUCUACACGAGAACAGUUGAUACUACUUCAGUACAAACACAAUGAUUUCAAUGAAUUUUCACUACAACAAAAAGAAAAUAAGAAAAAUGAUAUAUUUUCUUCAAAUUGGCUAAAACCUAUGGUUAGUUGGCAGAAAAAUUUAAAAUCAGUAAAUAACCGAACUUGAAGUUCAACAAGACUCAGGUUUGCUUACCAAGUUUUACAAUCAACACAUGUUCAAGUUUCAUAAAUAUAGAGAAGCUAGUAAGCAAAGCAUCAGAACUAAAAAAGAAAAAGAGAGGUCUUUGGUCUCCAAGAAAAUUGCCAGAAAGAAAAUAAAAUGGCAAAGAAACUACAAGCCAGAAAUUGCAAAAUACUUGAGACUGAACUGCUUACAGAAAGCAAAAACUAUUCACAAAAACACAAUAACCAACAACUAAUCCCCGUCAAACAUGAAGCCUAUAAACGGAAACUGAGUGAGAAUUGAAGUACCUGAUAGACGGAGACUCUUUUGGCUUAGAAUUGACAAGAUGAGUCCUUGAGUUACUACCCACAAACCCAAAUUCUCUAGCAUGAAAACUGCCAUAACCAACUGCUGAAGAGAGAUGAUGAUGAGAGAUACAAGUUGUUGUAGUAGCCAUUGCAAGCCAAAAUGCAUUAUGGCCAGUGAGCCACACCACAGCCAAAUGAUAGAUAUAAUGUGAUAUAUUAAGAUUCGAAAAAAAAAAAAAAAACCAAAACGUAUGUCUCAUGUAAAUUAUAUGAUAUGAAUUAUCACUUGCUACGUGCCCACUGCCUAACCCACCUCCGUAAAUUUUGGGGCAAAAUGGCGAAGCACUUGAAUGACAAAAGUGCUUUCCACUUCACCGUCCUAUCUUUUUUUUUUUCAACGACCCACUUCCAUGUUCCUGUACUUUGGAUUUUGUCAGCCACGUUUGGUCAUUGUUGCAAACAUAGAUUUUUCAAUGUUAGAAUUUUAGAAAUAUUUAAAUGUCCCUCUAGUUUAUUGAAGUAAAAUAAAACUAACGUAUUUAGUUAUUUUAAAGUUUUAUGAUAUUUUUUUAUAUAUAAAAGAUUAAAAUAAUUAAUUUAAAAUUUUCUAUAUCAAAAGAAAUUGAUUAUUUAUUUUUUAAGUUCGAUGAAAUUUCAUCAAUUCUCCAAAAUCCUUGAAACACUAAAAAGAUUACUGAAGUAAUUUUCAAAAUAAAAAUCAUGUAUAAAAUCAACAGCACCGGGCCACGCCCAUAAUUUGAAUUCAAGCUGCGAUUAAUCCAGCCCAAUCCGGAAAUGGGCCUCCUGUAAAGCCCAUUAACAAACGGUAUUGUACCUUGUAUACAGAACGCAGCUUACACGUGUAGCACAGGCGCAGCAAGUAAAAGACAAAGAAAGAAGACAGUCAAUCUAAAGGUUGCCGCAAAUUGAGCAAGAACAAGAAGAGUCGGCCCUCGAAAGUCGAAACCAAACAGAACAUGAAAACAUUUACCAGUCAAAAGCACGUGGGCGUCACGCCGUUAAAUUCAAUGCUCACGCUCAGUUGUUUUGUAUUUCGAUAGCUUUCGGUUUGUCGAGAACUGCGUCGAGAAUUCGCCGCAGCAUUUAUUUUCUCAACGAUUUCUUUAAGCCAUGCCACUACUUACCAGUUACCCCAUCGCCAUAAUGAUGACUUGUUUAAUCAAAUCGUGCAUGAAAUAUGUUCACAUCUUGACUCAAUUUUUUUUUCCCCGAAAAGAUAAACUGAUGAAAAAUGUUCUCAUUUUUAUUGAACUAUUUUUUUUUUCAAAUCUUGAUCGAGAAAUUACAAUGUUAAUAAAUAAUUUUUAAUAUGAAAAAAUAGAUACAUUUUGGAGAUUAUUUUAAAUAAAAAUAAUUCAGUCCAAAAUACUCACAGGUUGUAGUUUUUUAUUACCUUUGGGACAAACUUUAUUAACAUAACUCAUAUUUUUAUACUUUUGUUCGAAUAAUCAUUUUAUCACGUUAAUUUAUACAAGAUUUGUUUGUAUAAAUAUUCGUGCCUUAAUAAUUACUUUUAUUAUAUAUAUAUAUAUUUCAUUCUUCUAAAUUAAAACGUAUGUCAUUAAAAUUGGAUCAUUAACAUCUCGCUUUCAAUGCAAUAGACCAAAUCAAUUGGAUUAGCCACUGCAGAUAGUUUUAAAUAUUAGAUUUUUUUUUUCUUUUGCAUCCUACAAACUCUUAAUCCACCAAGAUCCAAGGAUGAAAAAUAAAAUUUUAAUUGUCAAAUACAAGUAAACGAGUAGUGAAAAAAAAAAAUUGUGGGUGAUAGCUAGUUGAGAGCGCAAAAUCUCUUGUGUUGAAAAUAAGAAAUCUAACAUUUAAAAUAUGUUCACUUGGGUGAGGAGAAGAUUAGAUUACAGUUAAACUAAAUAAUUAAAAAAAAAGUAGUGAGAGAAUGUUACUUGUCAAAUAAAAAUAGUUGUUUAUAAAUAAUAAUGCUACACUUGAGAAGCACUUGGACGGCAAAAUCACUUGUCCACUUAUGUUCAAUUCAAUCCACUAAAAGUAAAAAUUGAGGAUAGUUGUCUCUGUUAAUGAGAGUAGGUCUCAUGUCCUUAUUAGCGAAUAUUUUUUAUUUAGGUUCGAUAGACCCUAUUAUUACAAUAUUGUUAUUAUUGUAUGAAUGUAGACUCUUAGUAGGUCUCUUUAUUAUAAGUGGUUAUUUCUACAUGAAUCUAAACUCCUAUUAGAUCCCUUAUUGUAAUAUAAAUCGAUGUUUAGUAUACCCUAUUCACUUGUGCUAUUUUUUGUAAUAUGCGUUUACCCAAUUUUGAAAGCGCAACCGUUUUAAAUCCACAAUUCGAUAAACCUUAGCAUACUUUUCUUCUAUUCCUUCUCUCAACCUUUUUCUUCUCAUGAAGGUACAUCAACUAUUAUUUUAAUGAAAAAAAAAAUCUCAAAGAAAAUUGGUAGCUAAAAUCAUCACAAUCUUGAAAUUACUUUGUGUGGGCAAAUCCCAAGAGCUGAAUGGUUCUUUAAUAUUAAUUGGAAUUUGGAAAACACAAGGUGGUUUCCUCUAACUGGUUCCCCACGUUCCUUGAAGACUCCAAGUCAUACAAGUCACCUACCACCAACGAGAAGUCGUAUGCCGACGUGGCCACAUGGGUCGAUGACGUCCUCAUCGCAUUUUAUCGAAGCUUCUGGGGAACCAGGCAUGCAUUAAUUUAAAACAUCAUAAAAUAAAAAUAGAAGUACGGAAAAUAUUGUAACUCUUAGUUCAGAAUCUAAAUCUAAAUCUAACAAUUCAAGUUAUAUACAAGUCUCAUUAAACUAAAUUUAAUUUAGGGUACGUUUGGAAUUGAGGUUGGAUAACUAUAGUUUUUAAAAUACAAUAUUAAAGUAUUUGAUAAACACUAGCUACUGUAUUUUUUAAAACUAUCAACAGCUGUAAUUUAAAAGUUACAACACCUCAAUCUCAAUCAUAACUUUAAUUCUAGUGGUUCAAAUUUCAAAUAGAUGCAUUGGGUUUUAAAUAUUUUUAGACUUGUUCAUGAAUGAAAAUUAUAUAGGUGCGGAUGUUUGUAUUUUCUUAAUUAAAAUUUGUACCGUCAGCUCUUGAUAUCAAGAAUUAUUGUAUGAAUGAGAAUUAUUGAUUUCAAUGUGCUAAUUAUGUAAUUAUUUUAAAUACAAAAUUUUUUUUAAAAAAAAUUGUUUGAUUCAGAAUUUAACAAAAAACUUCUGACGUACGAAGAAAUAAGGACUCUUUGUAUCGAUUAUAUUCUUUAUUAUUAAUUCAAAUUUUAACAAAUGAAUGUACAUCUAAAAGAGAUAAAACUCUUUCCAUAAAUUAUUAUAAAUAUAUUAUGCAUCAACAUAUAAUAAUACAUAAUAAUUUUAUGUGAUUGGAUGAUCGUAUGAUAACGUGUUCUAGAACCAGAAAGCCUAAAUAUUUUCCACAACAAUCGCACGUGGACACCACGUGAGGUACCUUGCAGUGAACUUUCUUUUUCUUCUCUCCUAAAAUCAACGGUCAUGAUUUAUUCAUUAGUCUACCUUUGACCACUAUGAAGCCACCACCAUAAAUACCACAAGAAUCCUACUCUCAUUUCCCUUCCUGAUAACCAAAUAAACAAAAAACUCCAAUAUAUUCACUCAGGGCCAUGAGCGAAACCAUGUCUAGUCCUACUGACUGGGCCAAAUUCUACCAGCAAAAUCUCUCGGGUGCCGACGCGGACGCCGAUGCUGCCGCUGCCGCAGCCGCUUCCACGGGCAUGAUGCUGACAUCAAACAAUCUCUCAAGCCCACAUGGCUCAGCUCCUAGCUCAAGCUCAAACUUAAGCCCUACUGAAGGCAGAGUCUCAAAGCCACCCCAUGCACGUAGACGCUCUAGGGCUUCGCGUAGAACCCCAACAACGUUACUCAACACCGACACCACCAACUUCCGAGCCAUGGUUCAGCAGUUCACGGGCGGUCCCAACUCCCCUUUUGCUUCAACCCCAUCUGCACAUCAGAGCUUUGGUUUCGGCCUCGGAGCUGUAGGGAACCGUCAAGCUUCUCAUCUUCAAAACCCUAACCAAAACCCUAGUUCAACAGUCAUGCUUCCAUCACCGGGUUAUCGUUUACAGUAUCAGCCUCAGUACCAGAGUCAGGGGUACAUGAUCUCAUUGGGCAACGUGAAUAAUAAUCCUGGAGCUGCUGGAGAAGGUUUCUUCCAGAGACUUGGAGGGAAUCCUCGGCCGCCGCAGCCGCCGCAGAACACGGGAGUUUCUGAUGGGUUCUUAAUAGAGAUGAAUAAUGCUUCUUCUUCUUCAUCAAGGGUCCCUUCAAGUUCCAAUGAGAAUAGGGGAAAUGGAUUCAUAUUUUGAAAGAGACGUAAAGCAGAUUGAAACUUAAAAAGAAGAAGGAAGAAAAAAAAAGUUAGGUACUGACUUUUAUUUAGGGAGAAACAUUUGACUCUAAUGUAAAUAUUUCUCUUUCUUUUUUUUUUUUUUUUUGGGAUGUUUGUUUUUGUUUUCACACUUAAGUAAUUUUAACAGUAACGGUAGCUCCUUUGUUGGGCUCUAAUAGUCUAAUUAAUUUGGGGGUGGGGAUUAAGUGUUUCCUAUUUUUUUAAUUAAUUUAAGGUUUCUUUCUUCUUUUGUUUGUUUGUUUAGAUGUUUUGUUGUUUCUUUUGUAAAAUUCCAUGGCUUAACUUUAGCCUAAAGCCUAUUGUCCAAUACGAGAGCGACAAUUAGCAAGUAUUUACUUGGCUCUCAUAUUUUGUAAGCUACUUCUUCAAUAAAAUUUUAUCGCUGAAAAUUUUAGACUUCAUUCGAUUUAAUAAUUUUAUUGAUUUGGUGUAAGAGUACAUGUAAAUGGUAUACAACUCGCAUAUCAUCAACUAGGGGUUAGGCUCCAUUUGGUAUUAUUUUUUUUAAAUAAAACUUAUUGAUGUAGAGUUUUUAUUAAUAAAACUUUUAUAAGUAGAAAUUUCAUCAACAAAUUUUAGUUGUUUGCUUGUUAAUAAAAAUUUUAAUUAAAAGUUAUAAAUAUGUUUUAACAGAUAAAUUUUUAAAACUAUGUAUAAAAAAAAUGAAAUAGGAAUGUAAAAUAAAAUGUUGGGCAUUUUAGACAUUAAAUUUUCUAAAAAGCUCUCCAACCUCUAUUUUUAAAAGGCUAAUAAUUUUAAGUUUUUACUAUCAGAGGCAAAAUAAGUUGUUUAUGUCUCAAAAGCUCUGCUAAAAAAAAAAUCAAACAACAAAAAAAAAUGAAAAGAAUUUAUGAGAUUGAAUAAAUAUUUAUGACAAUCACGUAAGUGAUACCAAGUAGACACUAAUUCUACGCUAAUUAAAAACGAUGCUAACUAGACUGUAAUUAAGAUAUACAAUAAAUGUUAAGAAAAUAAGUUUGAUUUAAAAUUUUCCAAAUAUUUGUAUUAAAAAUAAUCUUUGUUAAAUUAUUUCUAAAAAUUGUUUUCAUUUGUAAUUUAAUUUGGCCGUUAGAGUACAUCGAGUUGAACUGGUCGUAUUUCUAGAAGAUACAAAUUAAGGAAAUAAAUUAAAAUAGAAAUGCUAUUACAUUUGAUAUCUUUCUUCGAAAAUAGUCUUUAAACCAAAAACGUCAAAAUUUUGAAAAAAAAAAUAUAAAUAAAUAGAACCAGGUAAAUAUACUUUUUCGAUGAUGACUCCUAGGUCCCUGAUUUGUUUAUAUUUUAUCACUUACUCUUCCAGUUUAUUAAUAUUAUUAUUUUGACAAUAAAAGAUUUCAUUUAUAUAAAUUGAUUCAAAGCGUAGUAGCAAUAGCAGCUAUAAUAAAUAUUCAUCCUGCCGUACAACCAAAGUUGAAAAAAUAAAGGCAAUUUUAACCAAAGUAGAAGUAGUGAUAUAAAAGUUUUACUACAUAAAAAAAAAUCUCCGUUUUAUUUAUUUUUUUUUUUUUGCCAAUAAAAAGAUUAACCACGUCCACUGAUUGCCAGUCUACAAUCAAAGAAAAUAAAUCAAAAUCAAGUGAUAUACCACAACAAAGAUUCAUCGCUGUAAUACAAGCAACAUCACUCGUAAAAUUUAUUUUUUUAAUUAUUUAUUACUUUCUUGAUAUUAUAAUUUUAAUGUUUAAAAUUUAUUAUUACAGGGAUAAAUGUGACUUUUAAUGUACAUUUCAUACCUUUUAAAAAAACACAUCACAUUAGACCGGCAAUAAGAUCAAUAAUAAUAAAAGAACUCAAUAAGUACGUUUUUUUUUUAAAAAUAAUUUUAAUGUAGGGGUGGAAUAAGUACUAAAAAUAAAUUAGAAACUUAAUUAGAAAAAGUGAGAAAUAAUAAGGACCCAAGUGUUUUUCUCCCUAUAAUUUUACUUGUAGUCCUGUGGAGCUGAUGUGGUCCAUAAAAAUAGAAUUGAAAGGGACUGAUUUGAGUGAGAAAUGGGGUGGGAAGAGGGGGUGAAUGUGAGCUUAUCGUGGGGUCCGUUGGCGUCAAAAGAAGAAAAUGCAAUUCAGAAAGUCAAAUUUAUAUGCCUCAAUCUUUGCUCAUUUGAAAUUAAUUUGGUGCCUUUUGAUUUUGCAGAGAUUUCAUCUAAUCUUUAAUUGGGCAGAAGAGUAUAAUCAUUAGCUUUCCUUGAGUUUCAAAGUGUAUUGUUUCAAGCACGUGUAUCAAUUUUAUAUACAACAAUGCUGUGUAAAUUUUGAUCUCGUGACCCCGACUCAUCAAAAAUGUUGCUAUUUCAGCUUCUUCUGUUUUCUUUACCGACAAAUUUAAAGAGUUUUCGCUCUAAUGAGAAAAGUUUCUUUUCAUCUUCUCUGUGCCGUUUGAUUAAAACUUUGUUAGAGAUUUUGGAAUUGGAAAAGUCAUUCCACCUCUAUUUAUUAAUUGAAUAAAUAAUUUAUAAUAUAAUUUUUUAAAAAUUUUAUCUGUUAAAGUAAUUUUAUAAUUUUAAAUAGAAACUCUCUUAAACUAACAAUUAAACAACUAAUUUAUUAUUAUUUCUUUUUUGUAAAAGUUUUACCUAUAAGAAUUAUAUAUACUAGUAGAAGAUUGUGAAGGAACUCUUUUUGAAGAGCUAAACCGAAAGGAACCUCUUCCUUGAAAUCGAAGAAUCUCUCUUAACUUGAAUUAAUUUUUUAAUCACUAAAAAGAACUCAUUAUCAUUUUUCGGUCAUUGUUGAUGUCAAUUUUGAUUUCUUUGCUGUGUGGUCAAAUCUUUCAGUCCCUGACUGGAAAAUUUGAGUUUUUAUUCGUAAGUCCCAAUAGUUGAUUUUUAUUACCCAGCAGCUCGCAUUCUAAUUCCAAACAUCCAGGACUAGGGAAAAAAAAAAGCAUAUAUGUAUCGGUCUAUAUAGAGGAAUUUUUUUAUCUGAAAUUUUAAAAUGUGAGAAAAUACUAAAAAAUACACAAACCGUGUAAUUUAUGUGCUGUAAGUUACAAAAUCAUAUCUUAAAUGAGGAGUCUUGAUUGAUUUGGAUGUUUCACAAACCUAAAAUCAAUUACAUGCCAAAUAAUAUUUAAUCAUUGUACUUGAAUUUUAUAUCGCGAGGGAGGGUUUCAAGUUCGGCGAGCUAAAACAUAAAAAAAAAAGGUGCCUCACUUAAAAUGGGAGGUGAUGGUAGCGUGUUUUUUGGGCCGCCAUUGCUUAGACAGAAUCAGGAACGAUUGAUGGAAUUCAAAUGAUGCCGCCACUUCUUUGCUUCUUCCUUUUGAUUAAUAUUGUUUGUUGGUAACUUGUUAUUCUCUAACACAAGGAAAAGAGAGAGAGGGGCACCCAAAAAAAAAAAAAAUUGUCAACCAACGAAAGAAUCAUAAUAUAUAUGCGUAAUUUUUUAAUGUACGUAUCAUAAUUCUAUUGGCUUAUUAUACAUAUUUCCAGAGUACAAUUUUUUUUUUUUUUGGGUAUGUUUUAAAGUGGUGCUAUUUAGACGCCUAUUUAAAUUUAUAAAUCUUUUAGGCAUUAGAAAAUAAUUAAUCCAUUUUUUAGGAAAAUCCACCUUAAUUUGACUAAUAAAUUAAUCUUGAUUUAAUUAAAUAUUUUUUUUAAUGUUUUGCAUAAUGGCCCCCCACCUUGAGAGCAAAUCGCUUUCCAUCUCUCUCGAUCAGUAUCUACUUCCUUGCUAAAAAACAGUAUCGUAAGAAUAAGUCUCGAUCUCUUUCUCUUCUUAUUAUUGUAGCCUUUUAAAAGCAGACUUGAGAUCUGAUCGGACAUUUACUUACGGAGAAAACCUUACGUAGGUGCAGGCGCACCGCCAGUCUUUCAACAAGUUUGAUGGUCUACAAUGGCGGACGCACACAAUUAUAUUAGGGGACUUAGUUUAAAAACUUUUAUUCAAUUUUUUUUUAAUAUUCACUUGAACACAUUUUAAAUCUUAUAAAUUUAAAUUUCAUUACUUUCUUUAAAAAAUUAAAUAAUUAUUAUAAUAAAUAAUUUAUUUUAAAUGCGUGAAAGUAUCAUUUUUCUAAGUAAUUUCUACAAAAUGUUUAAACUCAAAUUCCAUUACUUUCUUUUAAAAUUUAAAUGAUAAUUGUAAUAAAUUAUUUAUAUUAAAUGCAUGAAAGUAUUCUUUUUCUAAGUAAUUUAUACAAAAUAUUUAAAAAAAAUUUAAAAAUAAUAAUAUGGCUAUAGGGAUUUGAACUAAGACUCCAACACCAUAAAAUAAUACUCUUACGAUUAAACUAUAAGUCUUAUAUUAUAUAAAAAAUAUACUCAAUUUAUUUUUAUUUAACUCUUUCAGAAAGAGUUUUAGGUACAUUUAAAAAAAAUAUUAAUGGCCCAGGGAGGUUGAGGCUCCUCCCGAGACUUAGCUGGACUGUCUAUGAUUGAUGGAUGACAUAAAAGAACCCACAAAUUAAGUAAUCUAAUUUUAUACAUUUUUUAAAUAAAAAAUUUGUAGGUCCCAUAGUAAUAUCCAUAAAAAAUUAAGUAAUCCAAUAGCGCUCCACCAUGCGGCAGAUCUUGUUGUAGUAUUCAGUGAUAUUUUUAAUAUUAAAUUUAGUGAGUCCCACUGUGUGAUGCUGACCAAACUAUUUAUAUGAUUAUUUUUUUUGUCUAAACCACGAGGUGGUCUUGAGUGGGUCCCAACUGUGGGAGGCACCUUUUAGCCCAUACCACAACUCAGACUAAUCCUCGCUCGCAUCGGGUUGGCCCAUAAGAGGUAAAGUGCUGGCCAAAGUGGUAACUCUAUAAGAGAGCGGGGUAUGAACCCCUGACCUCUCUUAAGGAGUGAGAGUGUCAAACCACUCACACCCACUAACUUUGGUUACUAAAAUAUCACUUAAUACUACACAUUACUAUUUGGAUAAAACUGUGGUGCAACUGUGGUACCGUGCCACAGUAGCACCCAACCGUUGGAUUUCCACUUAUUUAAGUAGACCCCACUCAUUUGAGUGGAUCCAACGGCUGGUGCAACUGUGACACGGUACCACAGUUGCACUGUAGCCUGACCCUUAAUAUUUACAUGAUUAUGAUUAUAAUGAAAUGACGUUGAUCCAAUAUAUAUAAGGUAGACAAACUAAACCUUUCUUCCACUAUUGCAUUAUUGAAUUGGAGUGUAUUCUCAAUCCACGCAUACAAAAUUUGCAGGUAUGUUGAAAAAGGGUAAUUUGCAAGACAUGCCAUCAAAAAUAUUUCGUACACUGCAUGUUUCCGCAUCCUCCUAUGUCCAAAUUAUAUAAUCUCUCAUCACCCCCUUUCACUUUUCUCCAUUAUCCAAAAAAGAAAAAAAAAAUGAAUCUCUUAAGCAUUGUCCUAGCCAUUCUGGUUGCCAUUCUUUCAUCAACUUUUCUCAUCAAUCCAAACACAUUACUAACCACAUUUUUACCACCGAAUAUUGUUACAAAAUUUAUUCCAUACAACAUUGAUCGGGGCCAUCGUCAUCGAAAACGCCCCGACCACCGCAAAAAAGUUUCGAUCUGCGAUGAUUUUCCGAAGGAUUUUGCACCUCCGGAUACAAACACGACGUCGUACUUUUGUGUUGAUCGAAACGGGUGUUGUAAUUUCACCUCAGUGCAAUCGGCUGUUGACGCAGUUCCAAAUUUGAGCCUUAAAAGAAACAUCGUCUUGAUCAACUCUGGCAUUUACUAGUAAGCUAUAAUAAUUAACCAAUUUAUUAAUUGGUUUUAUAAAUAAUUUUCUCCCCUUACUUUCCCAACUAGCAUUUUUAAUUAAUCAACUUGUAUGCAUGCAAUAAUUUCAUUUAAUAACUUUUCAGUGAAAAGGUCACAGUUCCAAAAACGAAACCAAAUAUAACAUUUCAAGGACAAGGCUAUACAUCAACGGCUAUCGCAUGGAAUGAUACUGCCAAGUCUGCAAAUGGCACAUUUUAUAGCGGCUCUGUUCAAGUUUUUGCUUCCAACUUCAUGGCUAAGAACAUAAGCUUCAUGGUAAGGCAUCUUUCGACACUACAAACAAGAUUAGACGUCUUUUAAUUUUAUAGACAAAAACGACCAUUAACAUUUUCAAGUUUCACUUACACUUUCUGAGAUUUUACGGUCAUCACAACUGCAAUAUAUUGCAAUAGUACAAGAUAAUAACAAAACCCUCGUGUAUAUUCUUUUUUCUUAAAAACAAAAUAUUGCCUGAAUGAAGACCCAAAGAGUUUGAACUCCGAUUAUAGAGACAGCUACCUUGUGACAUAUUAAAAAAAAUUCUCUAAAUAUAUUAUACAGAGACAAGUAUUUUUACUUGUCACUAAAGAUGAGCAAAAUUUUGGCGCAUCAAGUACGCGCUGAAUUACUUAGUUCUAUAUUGACAAUAUUAAUCUUAUGUGUCACGUUAAAUUAAGUCUUUUAUCCCCCUGUUUCAGAGAUAGUGAAAUUGUCACUAAUGAAAAAAAAAUAUUUUAUUGCUGUCCCAAAUAAGGCAAAUUAAUAAGAUUUAUCAUACCAAAAAAAUUAAAGAGUUAUCUUUGCCCCCAAAUCCCUUCUCCCUUUUUAUAACCAGGCCAAAUCUUUCAAUAUCCCUAUUGGAAUCGAAUUCUAAUACUGUUAACUAUGCUAAUUUCUAAUUUAAUUCAGAUUAUGACAAGGUAAUUCAGUUGAGAUUUGCUUAUUAGUUGAUAAAGUUUUACUAUCCACUCAAGAUUAUUUUCCCUUCUUUCCUUAAUCAUAUUUGUUUCUAACCAAAAUUCUUUUUAACACUUUUCACCUAUAAUUUUAAGUGUUAAUAUAUAACUUUACCAAGUUGAUAUUUUAGCCCAUCAGAUAUUCAAUUCUUGCUUUGCCGUAAACUUUAUCUUAUUGUAUCACGUUAAGGUGAGCGGAGUUUGAACACAACCCUCUUAAUUAUCUCCAAAAGAUUUUACUAGUUGAACUAUGAUUUUUUGUCUGAGUUGUAAAUAGAAUGUAGCCCCAAUCCCAAGCCCAGGAGAUGUUGGCGCACAAGCAGUUGCAAUAAGAAUAUCAGGGGAUCAAUCUGCAUUCUUCGGCUGUGGAUUCUUUGGAGCUCAAGACACGCUUCAUGACGAUAGAGGUCGUCAUUACUUCAAAGAUUGUCAUAUCCAAGGUUCUAUUGAUUUUAUUUUCGGCAACGCCAGGUCAUUUUAUGAGGUAAGAUUGGCUUUCAAGCAAAAUCUUAAUGUCGAAACCAAAUUGAAGAAGAAAAAGAUGCAAAUUAAGGAUAUUUCUUUAAUAUUUUUGGGAGACUCAUUGAUCAAAUAAAUGCUAUAUAUAAACCGUGCAAGCACCAUACACAUAUUGGAAUAUGUAUAGAAUCAAACCAUGCAAAAGUAUAUACGUAUACACUUACGUCUGUCUAGUAUAUGAAAGAUUUUAAUCUCAGAACUUAAAUUCUUUGUACAAAUGUUGCUAAGAGAUGGACAUUAAAUUUGCGAAUUCUCAUGCAUUCAUCAUAAUUUUUUAUUUUUAUUUUUUUAAGCUUAGUAUACAUUCCAUAAAUCAAGAUUAAUUUCUCUUUUUUGCCAAAUUAACACAUGAAAUCUUCACUGGAUGUGCGAGUAGCAUACUCUAAUCUAUUACAGAAAAAUCUAAAACCGGAGCCUAUCUUUACUUAUAUUUAUUAUUUCUUUGGCCGCUAGAAUUGCCAGUUGAUUUCCAUGGCAAAUCCAGUAGCUCCAGGAUCAAAGGCCAUCAAUGGAGCUGUUACAGCACACGGAAGAGCUUCCAAAGAUGAAAACUCCGGCUUUGCAUUCGUCAACUGUACCGUCGGAGGCACCGGAAGAAUAUGGUUAGGUCGAGCAUGGCGUCCAUUCUCUCGUGUCGUGUUUUUGUUCGCAUCCAUGACCGAUAUAAUCGCUCCCGAGGGUUGGAACGACUUCAAUGAUCCCACUAGAGACCAGUAAGAAUUCAGUCCUAAUCUAAACUUAUCUUAAUAAUCACGUUAUCGUUAAAACAUUUUAAAACUUUAGCGGAACUCACACCAAUAAAGAAUCAUGAUUCGUUUUUUUUUUUUAAAGUUAAAUUAUUAGUCGACGUAAACGUGACUUAAAUUUCAUGCAGGACUGUUUUCUAUGGAGAGUACAAUUGCACAGGGGCAGGAUCUGAUAUGACGAUGAGGGCACCUUAUGUUCAAAGACUCAAUGACACCCAGGCUUCUCUUUUUCUUAAUAUAUCAUUUAUUGAUGGAGAUCAGUGGCUCCAAUCUUACAAUAAUUAGUUGUGCCUUUUUAAUCUCUCUAUGCAAAUGCUACGUGACCAAUGAAAUUAUGGCCAUUUAUUUGUCGAUUCUUUUGGUCAAUAAAAGACCAUUAUCCCGGCAUGUGAAAUGUGAAGAAAGUAAAAAAAAAGCAUACACAUAUCAAAUUCCAUACGAAACAUGCUAAUUGCUAAAGUUCACACAUGAGAAAUGUCGUCAAGUCCAAAGAGCAAAGUCAAAUUUCGACUCUUCAAAGGCGUUUCUUGGUUCACCAAUUUCAAAAAGUACUUCAUGAAAUAAUUUUUGGUUUGAAGUCAAUUUUCACACAUUUAUUCAAGUGCCACCACCAAAUGACAUGCAAUGGCUGAAUUUUGAUAUUUAUCAAAUUUCAAGUAAAAAUGGGUCACGUUCGGUAAUGUAUCUACAUAUACCUCUAAACCAAUGGUUGUUUUUGUUAAUCGAAUUCUUGUCAUAUGGACCCUCAAUCAAUCAUUGGAAAAUAAUUACAUAUAAUAAUCUUUAGGUGCGGACGCUUAGAAUUUAUAAAGUCCAAAUUUAAAUUAUAGACAUUUUCUUUUACGCCAUCCUAGAAAAAAGAACAUGGCUUAAAUCUGUAAUUUGCAAGUUUCAAGCACCUGCACGUGCACUUGAUUAUUAUUAUUAUUUUUUUGGUUUUGACCACGAGGUAUCCUGGGGAGGGCCCCAAUUGUGGGAGGCACCUUUAAGCCCGUACCACAAUCCAUACUAGAAGUUCCUGCUCGAACCGAGAGGCACGGGUUCUCCCAACAAAUACGACUUCCCUGCGACUCGAACUGGGGAGCAAACCCAAUCAAGCCACUUAAGGGGACUCCAUUGUCAGUGGAGCCAACAUUUUGUAAUUGUAUUUUCUAAACGUGAGAAGAUGUUAUUAAGUUAUAUCAGGAUUGUCAUGAUGUCUCCGUAUACAAGAUUGUUUCCAAAUGAGUUUAUACCGAAAGUAUUGUACUAGAUGUUCUAGAAACUUUAAUAUUUUAUGAGUUAAGAUGUUAUAAUAAAAGUCUAGCUAUAUUAGAAACCGCUUUAAAAUAGAGUUGUCUUCGUAAUUAUGAUGAAAAUUAUAAAAUAAUUUUUAUUAUAUAUUAUUUUACGUAUGUAAUUAUAAUUUAUGCUAUAUUUUACAAUAGCUUCGGAAUAAAUAUUACCUAUUAAUAAUUAUAAUUUUAAAAGAUUGAAUUGAUCUCCGUGAAAAAUCUAGAACCAUAAUAAUAAUUGCGGAAUACACACACGUCCAUAUUUCUGAGUACCCGAGGCCCACUGCAGGCCCCAGGCAUGCGGCAUUAGCAUAAAUACAAAAAAAAAAAUUGCAAAAUUUGCUUUGGAUGGCGCAAGAAGCGCAUAUUCGCAAAUUAAAAAAAAUAAAAAAAAACAUCGUUAGCAUAAAUAAGUUAUUUAAUUAAAAGGGAAAAAAAUUGCAGCGAGAGUUAAGUUACUAAAAUGAAAUGAGAGAACUCUUCGAAUCGAGGAGAACGCCAAUAACAGCAGCGAAAAAAUGAGUAACGCAAAUUCGAAUAAUUCAAAUUCGACUGAUACGGCGCCGUCUGAUCGCCCCGUUAGAGUCUACGCCGAUGGGAUCUACGAUCUUUUCCAUUUCGGCCACGCUCGCUCCCUUGAACAAGCCAAGAAAUCGUGAGUAUUUUUCGCCUUUCAAUUUAUCAUUAAUUAUUAUUUUAUUCAAAAAAAAUUAUUUUAUUGCGUUUCACUUUUGUUCUUCAGUUACUUUUUAUUUUAUUCAUGUGCCUUUUUUUUUUUUUGAUCUAGUGUUAUAAGAAGCGAAACAAAGCAUCUCUUAUAGAAAUUAACUUUUUCCCGUUUUGUCCUUAGUUUGAUCUGUGUAUGUUUCCGUGUACUGCUUCUUUUGCGUUUAUUUUGUUGAAUAUAUUAAUUAUUUUUUUUUCAUUUGUGUUCAUAUUUUGGUGAUUCUAUUAGUUAUGUGAUUCAUUUUUCUGGUUUCAUUCGUUUUGAUGUGCUAUAUCGUUUCGUAAGGAUUUGUGUUACAAAAAUAGUGAUUACAUUGGUAAUGAUUAAUGUGUGAGUGAAAAAUUAUUUCUGUUUAGGAGGAAUCCUGUUUUGAAUUUUGUUCAAAGUGUUAUUUUUAUUUGUUUACAUUCUAUUUGUGUUCAAAGUGUUAUUUAUUUAUUUAUUUAUUUUUGGCAUUGUAUUUAGGUUUCCAAACACCUACCUCCUUGUCGGAUGCUGCAAUGAUGAAACUACUCAUAAGUUUAAGGGCAAAACUGUUAUGACAGAGGAUGAGCGCUACGAAUCUCUUCGUCAUUGCAAGUAUGCCAUGCUAACUUAAGACUCAAUUUUGAAGUAUUUAUUUCUCACUGUGAUGUUUUCCAGUGUGUUACGGAUUUCAUGUUUCUAUUUGAAUGACUUAUCUUUCAUUUUCUAACAUGGACGUUGCUCUUUUAUUUUAUUUUUAUUUUUAUUUUUUUGGGGGCACAGAUGGGUGGAUGAAGUCAUCCCCGAUGCACCUUGGGUGGUCACGCAAGAAUUUCUUGACAAGCACCAGAUUGACUUUGUGGCUCAUGACUCCCUUCCGUAAGGAUAAUGAACCUAGAUUAAAUUUUUUGGACCUGAUGGAAAUUUGAUUUGAGUAAUGUGAUCUAGAUGAUUUUUAGAACCGUUAUUGAGUUAAGGAAGUGAUGCCUUUCAGUGUCUCUUUCUUAGUCGCUAAUUGAUUCUUUAGGAAAAAUAAGUUUGAUUUUGGUUUUGUAAAUGGAUAGAUGUUAUGUGGUUCUUUGGCAGUAACAUGGCAUUGAUGAAUUUUGUUCCAUGAAGUUAAUUUGUGAUACCGGAUUAGCCAUUUAAACGUUCAAGCUUUGCUGUGUUUUUUGGACAGUUAUGCCGAUGCCAGUGGUGCCGGAAAAGAUGUUUAUGAAUUUGUAAGUUUGAGUGGCAAUGGUUGCUUGUGUUCCAAAAUUUUCAUGCCUUAUUGUAUAAUUAUGUAACUAAAUGUUUAUUGCAGGUUAAAGCUGCUGGGAAGUUUAAGGAAACAAAACGAACUGAUGGGAUUUCAACAUCAGACAUUAUUAUGAGAAUUGUUAAAGACUAUAACCAGUAUGUGAUGCGUAACUUGGAUCGAGGAUAUUCAAGAAAAGACCUUGGUGUUAGCUAUGUAAAGGUAUGAUUUUUUUUAAAAAAAAAAUUUCAUGUGCUACUUUUGUAUCUGCUUGGCACCGACCCAAAAAGAUUAAAAAAAAAGAAAAAAGAAAAAAACAUGGUUUCUGUUUUGUGAAGGUAACUUAUCUUUUGUAUAUGUAAAUAGGAAAAACGGCUGAGGGUUAACAUGAAAUUAAAGAAACUGCAAGAGAAAGUGAAACAACAACAAGAGCGUGUUGGAGAAAAGGUAUUUGCACUUUUAUGCCAUAGUAUUAAAGCAUUUUGUACCUUUCCUUUUCCUUUCCCCGUUUUUGUAUUUCUGGAUGCUUCAUGGCGAGCAUUUGAUUUGUCGUAUGGAAUUCAGACAAGACUUCUUUUGGUUUUGAAGAAUGGUAGGCUGAUGUCAUUUGGUGCAACUUUUAUGUUAUUGCUGUUGAUUUUGAGACGUUAAGGGUGUGUUCGGUAAUGUUUUCCAAUUAUUAUUUUCAUAAAACAUAAAUGAGAAUGAAAAUGAUGUUUCUAAUUUGCUGUAUUUAGAAUUUGAGUAUGUGUCCGGUAUCAUUUCAUGUAUCCUGAAUUUUAAGAACAAAAACAGAAAUGCUUGUUUGCUAGACAAUACUGAUAUAAUCAAAACAAUGAAUAUACAUUCGAUAAUACUAUUUUUAGAAAGAGUCUUUUACUAAACAUGCAAGUUAUAGAUGUGUUUUUAAAUAGUUAUAUAUAGCUGAUUUAUCUUCCAAGUUCCAAAUUAAAAUAAUGAAAUUUAUAUUAUUGUAUAAUCAUAUCACAAUUAUGUUGCAAAUCAAACUAUUUAUCAAGAAUAAGCAAUUCAUAUGCAGCCAACAUCAAACAAUUUAUUAAGAUUAAAAAGAAUAUUUUGUUCGAAAUGGAUGAAAAAAUAUAUGCUGAUCAAAGAAUAUUUUCAUUCUAGAACUUUAUUUUAUUUCAAAAAAUUAUUACUUAGGUUAAACUGAAAAAUAUACACAAAUACUUAUAUAUAUGCACAAAUCAGUAGAUCUACAUGGGUGGCUGUUUGGGAAAAACCUCUAUAAAGAAAAUAAUUAAAAAAAAAGAGAGAUUUUGUUGAAGGAGAAGCCAAGAAAAGAAGUAUUUCAGAUAAUUGAAAGAAGAAGCUAAGAAGAUAUUGGAGAAAAGGAAGAAGAAGAAUAUUGAAGAUAAAAGUUUACAUAGACUGAUGUGAGGAAGAAAAGUUAAUUAUAAUCAGAAUUUUGAGAUGUAUAGAGCAUCUAAAACUCAUUUCUUAUUCCAGGACCAAAUUGUGGACCCUGUAUUUUACAUUUUAUGAAUACCUUCUCUUCAAACAGUUGCCGAACAGAUACUCCAACUGUAUUUUUAAAAUGAAAUUGGGCUCUAUAAGAUGGUAUCGAAUAGGCCAUAAAGAUAUUUCGAGUUGAUCUGUGUGUGAAGCUAACAAUUGGAUGCUGUUUAUUCAGCAUCUAUGUAUAUGGAUGGUUAUAAUAUAGAUUUACUUGCUUUAAAGGGCAUCAUAUACUCAAGCUACUGAAUGUCUGUAGUUCCUACUAUUUAUUUUUUGUUCAAGGUAUAUGCAUUAAUUAGUGAAUGAAAGAAAGAAACAGACUGUUAUUUGUGCAAGUAAUUUGUCACAUUGGUUGAUGAUUUGCUAUUGUUGAGUGCUUUUUGGUCUCUUGGGGGUUUGCUUCAGCUCCAGAUCUCUGUAUUUUAAGCUCCUUUAAAAUCUUUUAUGCCAAUUUCCACCCUUCUCAAUUACUUAUCAAUGAAGGCUGAUCUAGGUCAGUGGUGCCAAUCUUGAAAGAGAAAAUGAAUGAAGAUUUUUGGCUCAAGGCAGCAAUAUUGAUAUGAGUCCUAAGUUUAGUUAUUUGAGGAUAAUGUGAGAAUUUAUUCAAUAACCAUUCUUGGUAAUAGUUUUGUCCCCUUCAUUGAAUAUUUCAAAUGUUGUUCUGUUCAUCCUUGUGAAGAAUGCAGAGUUUUUAACUUUUUAUGGAAUUCAUAUUUUUCUUCAACCGCAAUGUUUUUUCUAUGCUGGUGAAUGUUGUGUAAGUUUAAUCUUGUGAACUGUUGAUCCUGGUGUUGCUCGUCCCUAUCUUGCUUUACUUAGUAGGAUCCUGUGGCUGUGAUGUAUAAUCUAUUUGCGUACUCUCUUGAUAUAUGUAGAUCCAAACCGUUGCAAUGCAUCGUAAUGAGUGGGUGGAAAAUGCUGAUCGCUGGGUUGCUGGUUUCCUUGAGAUGUUUGAAGAAGGUUGCCAUAAGAUGGUGAGUGAAUCCAUGGAUAUGUGGACAUAUGCAAUAUAUUUUUGUCUGUUGCCGAUGAAAUUUACCACCAAUUUCGGUCUAUUUCAGGGCACAGCCAUCAGGGAUCGAAUUCAAGAGCGAUUAAGAGGGCAGGGGUCGGGCAAGUAUCUACUGCCAAAUGGUGAGGAGGAGGAGGAUGAUGACGAAGAAUAUUAUUAUGAUGAGGAUGAUUAUUUUGAUGAAGAAGAAGAAUAUUAUUAUGACAAUGAUGAAUCAGAUGAUGAGAAAGACGAGAAAGAAAUGAGUGAGAAAGACGAAAAAGAAACGAAAGAAAAGAAAUAGAUCCGAGUUUUCUUGAUUGCAGGUAGAGUUGGUCUAUAGCAAAAUUAUGUUCUUGGUAUUAUUUACUUGUGGACUCUCAUUUUGUAAAGUGCUAUUGAUGCCCAAAAAAGAGAAAAAUUGCUGGGACUCCUGAAGGAAGCUUGGGUUUGAGUGGAAACUUUCACUUCACCUUUUUGUAAUUGUAUUUUUCAUUUCUCUUUUAUGUGUGUUUGGGUUUUCUAUUCUUAGAUGAAAUUGCUGUAAUGUUAGAGGUUCUUUUCUUACGGAGUUCGAAAGUUUUGUUUAUUGCUCAAAUAUCUGUAAUUUUCUUAAUGAGAUUCCCAUUUUACUUAUCAAGUAAAUGUAUAUAUACAAAUCAAUAUUGCUACGUUUGCAGGCUUGCAGUGCUAGUUUUGGUAGCCGAACCAAUGUGGUACUUGAAUGGAAUGAUAUAUGUCAAAUGAUUACUCCUCUUUUUCCUUUCACAAGAUGGUUUGUUUGAGCUCCUUGUAUUCGCAAGUUUGAUAUAUCUUAUUAUUGUAUUUUGCUUUAUCCAUAUCAAGAAAAAUAAUUUUGCUUAAUUAACCUAUGCAGUAAACAAAUAUUAUGAUAGGAAAUGAAAAAAAAAAUUAUAAAUGUCCUAAAAUGAAUAUAGAAUUUAUGGUUGAACUAAUUCAAUAAAACUUAAUCCAAUUGUUUUCAAUACAAUUUUUAUUUUGUUUCAAUUGAUGAGUGAUUUUUUUUGUUUAAUUAAAUUUAAUAAUUAUUUUUUAAUUAAUUAAAGUUCGAUGUUGAUUUACAAAUUUUAUGUUAUUUUUAUAAGUGUUUUAUUUGUAAUUUUAAAAAAUUAAUUUAUUAUUUUUAUAUUAAUUUAUUUAUUUUACCUUUUAUUUACUAGUCUUAUUUAUAUUUUACAAAAUUUAUAUUUAUCACGCUAUAGAUGCCAAAAAUUUAAUUAUAGAAUCAUAGAAUUUUUCAAUUAGGCACUAUUUGAGGCAUGCGAAAUCCAUGUAAACCCGAAGUACAUUUCUCUUCGGUGGGACUAUUUACGCUUUCACAUAUAUUUUAGAUAGCUUAUUUUAAUAAAAAGCUAUUUAAAUAAAGUAACUCCGACGUAAUUUAACGACAUUGACAUAAUUUAUGAAAAUUUUUGUACUUUUCAUUAAGACCCAUUUUGUAUAGUGAUUAAUGUAUUUACAAUUUUCAUUUAACAUUGAUAAUUUUUUUAAAAAAAAUUUAAUGAACGAGUGUAAAAAAAAUUAUUUAAAAAAAAAUUUUAAAGUACAAAUAAAUUUCUUUUAAGUAUCCCGUAGACUAUAGUUUCGAAAGUCUUUCAUGAUGUCAACACACCACCAAGUCACGCGUUCCAAGUAGUGAUGUUGGCACCAAUGGGCUUUUGGUCCAAUGGGAGAACCCUUGCACUUAUAAUAUUAAGUGUAAGGGUUCGAGCCUCCAUAAGAGCAUUAUGGAAGUUAGUUUCAGUUCUUCCUCAAUUAUCAAUUAAUUGAGUGGAGACAGUCUCUCCCUUACGAAAUGUGAGUGGAGCAGGCACCCCUCGAAUAUUAAAGAGGGUUUAAAAUAUCUGAGCAUAUACUUCAGUGUGUCAAUGUAUGAUGGUGGUCCCAGUUAUAUAGUAUGAUUGUAAAUAUUAAUUGUAAUGUCUAAUGUAAUGUCAGUAAUAUCUGUGUAUAACAGACUUUAAAAAAAAAAAAAAGUAGUGAUGUUGGCCGUUUACUUUGUGACACGUGGUAUCACGCGGCAGCUGUUUUAGAAAUCGCGGUCCUUUUCGUCCUUUCUUUGAGUUGCCAAGAACGUUCCGUUUUCGUUCUCCUUCCGAGAAUCUCACGUUUAUCUCUUUAUAAAAUAUCAAAUUGCUGGGCCCGGCACAUCAAUUGCUUGCAGUGGUGGACCCCAAACGUUUAGCAAGGGUUAAUUAAUUGGGAGAUGGACACUUAUAUAUUUUCAUAAUUUAAGAGAAUAAUCUUGUGAAUUCUUAAUUUUUUUUUUUGUGAAGCACACCGAAAUUUCUUUCUGACAAAUAAUAAUCUCAUUAAUUUACUUAAAAAGAAUUUAGUCUUUUUUUUUUCCCCACACUUUUGUCUAUUCUAUUUUUUAAAAAAAUAAUUUUAGUGAUGAAAAUACAAUUUUAGUGAUGAAAAUGCCUUUUUUUUUGGCAAAUUUGACUACAGUCCACAAUAAAAGCGACUAGGUUCCCAAUAAGUCGAAAGGUUAUUAAUCCACCGCUAUUAAAAAAAAAAAUAAACGGCCAAUAACACCACCUCACAAGAAGGAACAGGAAAUAAAUUUAACUUAUAACAAAAUUUACAAUAAAUUAAAGUUGUGACCACGUGGCAACACUUGUCACAGAGUAGUGGCGUUGACGCAGGAAGACUUCCCCAACGAUAAGAUAAGAGGAGAAGUCUGUGUUACAGAUUCUGUAACAUACAUCCCCCACUCUAUGCACUCCACGUGUCCCUGUACGUGGAAACAAAGCAAGGAAAUGGCACCCUUGAGGAGCUGGCUAACCUGGUCUGUAAGAUACAGAAUCUGUACCGUAGCCAGCUCCAAAGAUAAGAUACCUCAUCCCCCCUUAGCUUUUAUGUUAAUUUUUUUUUUUUAAAAGGUUAAUUGGAUUUGAUAUCUCCUAAGUAACAAGUAGUGUGUCAGUUGGAAAGGAGAUGAUGCCAACAUUUAAUAGUUAAAGGCGGUGGAAUAAUGAGUUUACCAAGUGGAGUAAUUGUAGUGAGUUUACGUGGGAGUGCAGUUCAAUUCAUCCUUGCAUAAAAUACCACAAAGUUAGAACAAAAAACUAUAUUUUUAUCACUAGAAUUACUUUAAAUAAAUAGGUUACACACAAAAUUAAAGAAAAAUAUUUAGACCAAAUUAGGGAUAAACUAAAGAUAAAAAAAAAAAAACAUACUCUCAAUUUUAAAUGUGUGUUUUUAUGUCUUUAUUGUGUAUUUUUUUAAGUAAAUGAAGGAGACUAUGUUUAUUUUUGAUAAAAUAACAAUACUAAUUGAUAAUUUGUUUAUUUAACUCGACUAUAUUAAAGUAAGAAACAAGCUAAAAGAAUUAAAAAAAAUACAUAGUGCCUAUGAAAUCUUUUUUUUUUUAAAUUUUGUCCCAAAUAUAUGUUUUACAUUUUAUUUAGUGAUGUUAUUAUUUAUUCAUUAAGUUAUUAUUUUAUUUUAAAUUUAUGUACAGAGUCAAAUGUUAUUUAAUUAUGUUUGAGAGUUUUAUUUUAAAAUAAUUUAUAUAUGUUUAAUUAAAAAUACUAUUUUUCUCAAUAAAUUAAUGGUAAAUUAAUAAAAAAUAUUUUUAAAUAAAAAUAAAAUAAAUUAUUAUUUAAAUAACAAAGAUAAAAUGAGUUAUUACUUUAAAUCUUCGGGGUGAAAAAGGAUUUUUUCCGCAAUUCUUUUUUAAGUAAAUUAAUUAACCCUCGGUACUUCACAAGUUUGGGUCCACCACUACAAACAGUUGAUGUGACCAAGCCCAAUACAGGAAAUUAAAGAAUCAAACAAUUUUUUCCAAGAAGACUUAGACAUUUGGGGAAGAAAAAUGUGACAACUCAACCAAUUGAUGAUGCCCUUUAAAAAUAUUGGAAGCUGGGUGGGUGGGUUUCUGACACAUUGAAAUUGAUUGUUCAAAAUUUGAGUAAGCCUUUUCACACCUUUCAAAAUUUCUCCUAAAAUCUUCUCUUUUUUUUUUUAAUUAAAAUUAUUUAAGCAAUUAAAGAUCAAUUAAUUCAUUUCUUAUUCUGAAUAAAAAAAGUAAAUUUGAUAGAGUCCAGCUAGAUAAUCGUAAAAUAAAAAUUUAAGGCCAAAAACUUAGAAUCAGGGUUAGGUUUUUUCAUAUUUCACGUUUAAAAGGAAAAAAAAAUGAUUAAAUUACGAUGUAAAUGUUAACCACGAUUUGAUUAAAUUCUAUUUUAAAAGUUUACUGCUAGCUAUGAUUAAUUAUCUUCUUGUUUGUUUUAUUACUUGAGCAAGAAAAAGAAAAUGACACGUUUGUAUGGUAUAACACGACUCUUUUUCAUUUUUAUUAUGUAUUCAAUAUUUUUAAAUCGCAUUGAAAAAACAUGUAAACGUUGAAUUUUACAUUUGUUUAGCCAACCAACACGAUCGAAAAUAUAGCUAAUAAAAGGAAAGGGGGGGGGGGGGGGGGUUAAAUUAGAUGGGUAAAUUAAUAGUCCAACGUAAUUUGUGACAUUACAAGCUUGACUUAAACCAAUUUUGAGCCUACACUUGUAGUGAGAAUGCGUUGAAAUUCCUCUCUUGUUAAUUAUGACGUCGACAUAACGUUAUCAAAACUUUGUAUUUAAUUAUUGGGUAAAGUUACUAACACUUUUAAAAUUUAUUUUAAACACACAUUUUUAAUUAAAUAUUAUUUUACUAAAUUACCCCUUAUAUAAUUUAUCAUGACGGACAAUUUCUCCUGUACUUCACUGGUAAAUAUUUACUCUAACAAACACGGUGGGUAUUAAAACAAGAAUUAAUAAAUAAAUAAAUAAAUAAUUGGGUAGCUGUUAUUCUUAAAAAAAAAAAAUGAAUUAACAAUAAUCGGAAAUCCAUUGUGCGGUAGAAUUUGGAAGAUGGACAUUUGUACUUGGAAUAAUAAGUUUGUUCAUGGGUGUAUUAAAUAAAUGAGUGUUUAAAGUAUUAAUUAAAGUACAAAUAAUCUCACACUUAAAUAAUUUUAAUUCUGUAACCAAUUAAUUAUUUCGUGUAAUAAUUACGAUAAUUUUACAACCCGUAUGCAGUAAUUUAAUUCUACAAUGAAACUUGUGUUCUUGCCGAAUCAUGUCCUCAUUCCUUUGAAAUCAUGUCGUCAUUCCUUUGAAAUCAUCAUCAAACGCAAAAUUAAAACUUUCGCGUCUUUAUCAAAUAUCUUCUCUUUAAUUGGUUCUACUUUUUAAUUUAUUUUCUUAUUCUCUGUGACUCUCGUUUUCACUCAAAGGACCACGAUGAUUUCACGAAAUUCCAUAUCAAACUUUCACAUACUCUCUAUAUAUAACAAACAAACAUUUUACUGUCAAAUACUUCUUAUAACGAAAAAUUAAAAAAAAAAAAAAAAAAGAAAAAUUCCAGAAACUAAUUUGGGGGGUCAAAUUCUUUAACAUGAUCACUUCUCGUAGUCUUUGCAUCAUUUUCUUUUGUAUUCUUCUAGUACUACUACUUCCCAACAUAGUAUUAGUACGAGGAGAAUGCACGUGCGAUCCUGAAGACGAGGAUCGAGACAAGACUCAAGCCUUAAAAUAUAAACUCGCCGCAAUCGCUUCGAUACUCGUGGCCGGAGCCAUUGGAGUUUACCUUCCGGUCCUCGGAAAAACUAUCCCGGCACUAAGUCCGGAGAGAAAGAUUUUCUUCCUAAUCAAGGCCUUUGCCGCCGGAGUUAUAUUAUCAACUGGGUUCGUCCACGUGCUUCCCGACGCCUUCGAGAACUUAACGUCGCCCUGCCUCGAUGAACACCCAUGGGGGGAUUUUCCGUUCACCGGAUUUGCUGCCAUGGUUGCUGCUAUCGGGACUCUGAUGAUUGAUGCUUUUGCAACUUCUUAUGCGACUUCUUAUUAUCGCAAGUCUCACUUUGGUGAAGCGGAGGAUAACGUAUCAGAUGAAGAGAAAGUUGGGGAGCAUGCAGGUCACGUGCAUGUUCAUACUCAUGCAACUCAUGGCCAUGCUCAUGGAUCUAUUGAAUAUGCUGGUGAAUCGGAGCUUCUACGACACCGUGUCAUAUCUCUGGUUAUAAUUUAUUUAUUUAUUUUUUAAAUUUUCAUGCAUAUAUAAAACGCUGGUGAAUUUUUAAUUAUAUUGGUAAAUUAAUUAAUCUAUUUUUUUUUAAGUUUCAUUUUGGGUUAUUUUUUUCGUUAGGUUUUGGAGUUGGGAAUUCUUGUGCACUCGGUAAUCAUUGGAAUUUCAUUGGGUACUUCUGAGAGUCCAAAAACUAUUAAGCCUUUGGUUGCAGCGUUGACUUUUCAUCAAUUCUUUGAAGGAAUGGGUCUUGGUGGUUGCAUUACGCAGGUAAUUGAUAUUUUCUAUUUAUGAUUCCAUUUUUUUAAUUAUUAUUUUUACUUUGUAAGUUUUAAUUAAGAUGCUUGAUACAUGGUGCUAACUAGCCAUAAGAAUCAAUUAUCAAAGCACUUUUAUUUUGGAAAACUCUUUUUUUUUUUUUUUUUUUGGUUAGAAAAAGGAAAAAACUUAUUUGAAGUUUUAAAAUUCUCUGUUUUUUUUUUUACGCUGUUGACUAUAUGUGUGUACACAUAUGUAAUACUAAAGUCUUUUUGUGACAAUAUCCACCUAUGUACGUACAAUCAAGUGGACAAUAUGGCUCCAAAUUUCAUUAGUAAUUGAUGUUAACAAUUUUGUUUUAACGUGUUCGUUUUUAUAGGCAAAAUUCAAGUCUCGAGGAGUCGCAAUAUUGGCCUUUUUCUUCUCUUUGACAACCCCAGCCGGGAUAGCAAUAGGCAUUGGAAUAUCAAGUUUUUAUGACGAAAAUGACCCCACUGCUCUUAUUGUUGAAGGGAUAUUCAAUGCAGCAGCAGCUGGAAUCCUAAUAUACAUGUCCUUGGUGGAUCUUCUUGCUGCAGAUUUUAUGAAUCCGAAGAUGCAAGACAAUAAAAGGCUUCAAUUUGGAGCACAUGUUUCUCUUCUUUUAGGAGCUGGUUGCAUGUCCUUGUUAGCCAAAUGGGCUUAAAAAUCAUAGAUAUUUUUUCUGCAAUUUUUGUUUAUCCAAUAGUUUAAUUUGCGGCAGUUUUUGUACAGACAUUUUGAUGGAUGUUUACUAUCUGUAAAAUAACUUAAAUUGAUUAGGGUUAAGUGUAGCGUUUUAAAAUUUAAAGAGGGUAAGUGUCAUAACUCAUUUGAUUUUGGGUGUGAAUCUUUGUAACUUAUAUUUGAAGGGAUCUGUAAUUUUUCCUUGUACAUAUUUUAUUUUAUUUUUGACUAAAGAUCAUUACUCGACGGUGAGCUUUAAAUAAUAAAUUCUACAAAGCCCCUGCCAAAAAGGGGGUAAAAAACAAAAGGAAAGAAAAGAAAAGCUAUGAACUAAUUUGAAAAGAAGAUGAUAAAGAUCAUGGUGAUGAUAUUGACUCAAUUGAGGAAGAAAACUCAAACUCGUAGUGUUUAUCGAUGGCCAUUGAUACAUCAAUAUUACACAUCAAUGUAUGUAUAUACAUACGCACAUCAAUAUUGCUAUGUUUGCAAGUUUAUAAUAAAAAAUAAUUUUGGUAUUCGACCCAAUGUGUUCUUAUAAGAAAAUGACACAUGUCAAAUGAUUACUUAUAUUUUCACUUUCACUUGGUGGUUUGUAUGAACACUUUGUAUAUGCUGUUUUAAUAUCAAAUAUUUCAUAUUAGUUGGGUAUAACCGUAUAAAUUUUAUAUUUUAACUAUACAUAAUUAUAGACUUGAGUGGAAAAUAUAGAUUUAGUUGGUCUUUUAGUGAAAAUAAGGGUAUUACAAACAUUGUCCUUCAUAUGGCAAGCUAGAACAAUAUAUGAAUGGGUCGACGAGGUUAAGUCAAGAGAAACCUAAAAACGCAAGCUGGUUGAAGCCAGCCACUUGCUACUUGCUACUGCCAAAAGAGAGGGAAAACGACAUCGUAAUCCACUAGGUACGGACUACUAAUUAAUUAGCUCAGUUGUCUCCUUUUACUUCCAAAAACGUCCAAACUCAUCUUGUAAAACUUUCAAUAUUCUGAAUUUUGAUUCCUUAAUUUUACUUAAGAAUUUGGUCUUUAUCUAAGUUUUAAAUAAAGUGUUUUAAUAAGUUAUAAAAAAUAAGGGUAAAAGCUCGUUUAAUCCCUAUAUUUUGAAGUUAGUGCCCGUUUAGUCCCUAUAUUUUUAAAAAUACCUCAAACCAUCCCUACCAUUAAAUUAUUGACACUUUUGCCAUUAUCUUUUGUUCCUUUUAACUUAUUUUUAUAAUAUUACCCUAUUAUAAUAAUUUUUUAGACAUUAUUAAAAAGAAAAAAAUAACCCUUUUUUGUUUUUAUUUUAUUUUUGAGUUUAAUUUGAUAAUUUAAUUUUUUAUUAAUAUCCAAAAAAGAAACAUUAUUGUAAAAAUGUAAUAUUGUAAAAGCAAGUUAAAAAUAAUAAAAAAUAAUGGCAUAAGUGUCAAUAUUUAGUAGCAGGGAUGUUUUGAGGUGUUUUUAAAAAUACAGGGACUAAAUGAACACUAACCUCAUAAUAUAGGGACUAAACAAGCUUUUACCCAAAAAAUAAUUAUCAUUUCUCAUAAUUUCAGGGGCAUUCCGAGAAUCGAACUCGGGACCUCUCGCACCCAAAGCGAGAAUCAUACCACUAGACCAAAUGCCCAGCGACAAAGUGAAACUUCCUUACAAAAUAUUAAUCUUAUUUCUAAAUUGAAGUCAUUACACACGCCUUCAUACUUCUUCGUUUCCAUUAAUAAGAAUUUGACUGAGAGAAUGGUGGCAAUUUGAUUCCAUGCAAACAGUCUGAUGGAUGAUCACGACAAAGGUGAAAUUGUUUCUGAGUAAAACUUGGAACAAAACUUGACACGUACAUGAACACAGAGAGUCAAAUUAACAAGCUAGCCAACAUCCAAAAUGGCCUACAAAUUCAUAACAAAACGACAUGGGGAUUUGCCACUUGCCAGAUUCCAAUCUCUAGACAAUGCACACAUCUUUUGGUUGAAACUCGAGCUCUGUUAAAAUAUCUUUUUGUUAAAUAUCUCAAGCUCUGCCAAGGGAGUUGACGUUCAAUCGUUAUCUAAUUCCUAUAUACGUUUCACGUCUCAGGAGCUGAACUAAAGGAUUCAAGUAUAAGAAUAGUAUGUAAUUAUUAAGAUCGUUAACACGUACAAACAUUGCCGAUACUACGAUCAUCAAAUCUGAUUUCAUACUUAACAAAUUAAUUAUUUAUUUAACAAAUUAAUUAGUACCCUAAUUAAUAACUUGAUCAGUGCGGAUAUGAUUUAUGAAACCACGGGGCAACAAAUUGACUACAAGGUAAUAACAUUAAAUGUUGGACUAGUAGCCUGUUACCAUUCAUUCAUUUUUUAUUUUUUUUAACAUUCAUAUAUAAUAUUUAAUAUGAUAUUAAUACAACAUGAUCCCAUGUUACAAGUUAAUUUCAGCAUCAUUGUUAUAGUUUUCAUGUUCGACCUUACAAGCAAACUCCUGAGUCUAUUCAUAUGAGGUGCAAGUGCAAGUAUGCAACUGGCAGAGCUUGAAAAACUUUUUGAGGUUCAUGGUCCUAUGAUAAAGUUAUCAAAAGUAAUUGACAUUAUGCUCUUUAUUUAAUUCUUCUAUAAACUUAUGUCAAAUAAUAGAACCUUAGGAGGGACCCAAUUGGCCAAAUCCCAUCACAGUCUCACAACUGGUCCUGAAGCUUUCUUUUACAUGAACUGCUUAGAAGCAUUUCAGAAUUUUCCUUACCUUUUCUCCUGAAUGAUUUAAGGAAUAAUUGAAAUUAAAAUUGAAUAAUUUUCGUUGCCUUUUUAUCCCAAAAUGGUAUAUUUUCUUGAAUCCAAAACCAGUUUGAAUAUUGAUAUUUGAUGCAGCCCCUUGUAACUACAAAAUAAGAUUUUAGGGUAAAAAACUUUUAAUUAGUUAGGCUAGGGUUUUAUUUUUGACAUAUAUUUUAUUGUUUAAAAGGGAAAACAAAGAAUUAAAUAUAACGUCAUGUUACCCACGAUUUGAUACAAGGAUGAUGAUCCUCUUCUGAUUUGAGCACACCUGAUCUUUUACAGAUCUUGUGUCAUUUGUAUUUUAAUGUUAGUGUAUAAUUAUAAUUUAACUACUUUUUCUUUUUAAUUUAUUAACCACCAAUCAUGUUAAUAAAAUUUACUCAUAAAAAGAUCAGAUCAUGAGAAAAUCUCAAUCCUUGAUACAACUCUCCUUUUUUUUUUUUAAUAUACUUCACACUUUGUAUAAAAAAAUGACCCUUUUUCAUUUUAUUAUUUUAAAAUUGCAUUGACUAAACUGUAAAUAUUGAAUUUUAGAUUUGGUUAGCCAACCAAGAAGAUCGAAAAUCCAGCUAAUACUGUUAUCCGGCUGGCUUGUCAAAGAAAAAAAAAUUAAAUGAGUCAAUUAUUAUUUCAACAUAAUAUCGACAUUGCAAGCUUGACUUCACCAAUUUUAGCCUACAGUUGUAGUGAGAAUGCUUUGAAAUUCCUUUCUGGCUGCUCAGUAUGUCGACAUAUUAUCAACACUUUGCUAUUUUUCAAUCCCUGAGAUUCCCAUCCAAAUUUUCAACUAGCCAGUCCCUAAUUGCAGGCCACUUUUUAAUUCUGUGGUCAAAUUAAUUAUUUCGUCUAAUAAUUACCAUAAUUUUACAAAACAAGAAACAACCCAUGUACAGAAGUUUGAUUCUACUCGUAACUUGAUUCUUACGGAAUCGUGUCCUCAUUAUUUCUUCAAAGCUACUUUUGAGAUGAUCAUCGAACGCUAAAGCGAAUUAAACCUUAAUUGGUACUUAGCGUUUUAAUCCAAUCUCUUCUGUUUGUUCUAUUAAUUUCUUUUAUUUUGUUUUCUUAUUCUCUUUCAGUUUCACUCGAUGGGGUCGGUGCAUGGGUCACAAUGAUUUUAUGAUGCUCUAGAGAUCAACAAUCACGCGCUUUCACAUAAACUCUACGCUAUAAACAAUUUCCUCUCAAAUAUUUUCAUCAUACAAAAAUAAAAAUCGUGAUAUUGUUUUCAGAUUUCAGAUUCUUUAUCAUGAUCACUUCUCAUCGUCUUUUCAUCACUUUCUUUUGCAUUCUUCUAAUACUACUUCCCAACGUAGUACGAGGAGAAUGCACGUGCGAUCCUGAAGACGAGGAUCGAGACAAGACUCAAGCCUUAAAAUAUAAACUCGCCGCAAUCGCUUCGAUACUCGUGGCCGGAGCCAUCGGAGUUUUACUUCCCGUCCUCGGAAAAACUAUCCGGGCACUAAGUCCGGAGAGAAAUAUUUUCUUCCUAAUCAAGGCCUUUGCCGCCGGAGUUAUAUUAUCGACGGGGUUCAUCCACGUGCUUCCCGACGCCUUCGAGAACUUAACGUCGCCCUGCCUCGAUGAACAUCCAUGGGGGGAUUUUCCGUUCACCGGAUUCGCUGCCAUGGUUGCUGCUAUCGGGACUCUGAUGAUUGAUGCUUUUGCAACUUCUUAUGCGACUUCUUAUUAUCGCAAGUCUCACUUUGGUGAAGCGGAGAAUAACGCACCAGAUGAAGAGAAAGUUGGGGAGCAUGCAGGUCACGUGCAUGUUCAUACCCAUGCAACUGAUGGGCAUGCUCAUGGAUUUCUUGAAUAUUCCGGUGAAUCGGAGCUUCUACGACACCGUGUCAUAUCUCUGGUACAACUUAUUUAUUUAUUUUAAAUUUUCACGCAUAUCUAAAGGCGAUGGUGAUUUUUUUUUUUUUGUUUUUAUUUUUGAAGUUUCAUUAUGGUUAUUUUUUCCAUUAGGUUUUGGAGUUGGGAAUUCUUGUGCACUCGGUAAUAAUUGGAAUUUCAUUGGGAGCUUCUGAGAGUCCAAAAACCAUUAAGCCUUUGGUUGCAGCGUUGACUUUUCAUCAAUUCUUUGAAGGAAUGGGUCUUGGUGGUUGCAUUACGCAGGUAAUUAGGAUUUUCUAUUUAUGAUAAUAUUAGGUUUGGCCAAUUUGACAGUUUUCCAUUUUUCUCAUUAAUAUUGUUUUUACUUUGUAAGUUUUAGUUAAAAUGCUUCAUACAUGUACAUGGUGCUAACUAGCCAUAAGAAUUAAUUAUCAAAGCACUUUUUUAUUUCGGAAAACUCUUUUUUUUUUGGGUUAGAAAAAGGAAAAAAACUUAUUUGAAGUCUUAAAAUUCUCUGUUUUUUUUUUUUUUUACGCUGUUGACUGUAUGUGAUACUAAAGUCUUUUUGUGACAAUAUCCACCUAUGUACGUACAAUCAAGUGGACAAUAUGGCUCCAAAUUUCAUUAGUAAUUGAUGUUAACAAUUUUGUUUUAACGUGUUCGUUUUUAUAGGCAAGAUUCAAGUCUCGAGGAGUUGCAAUAUUGGCCUUGUUCUUCUCUUUGACGACCCCAGUUGGGAUAGCAAUAGGCAUUGGAAUAUCAAGUGUUUAUGACGAAAAU
rnacentral:lncRNA from 1 species